UCUUUGGUGUGAAAGGAGGACGUGGAGGCCGUGUGACAGCCAUGGCGAGCUACAAGGUGAAGCUUGUGACCCCAAGUGGAGAGCAAGAGUUCAGUUGCCCAGAUGAUGCAUACAUUCUUGAUGCUGCAGAGGAAGAAGGCAUUGACCUUCCUUACUCAUGCAGGGCUGGUUCUUGCUCUUCAUGUGCUGGCAAAGUUGUGGGUGGCCAAGUGGACCAGUCUGAUGGUAACUUCCUUGAUGACGACCAAAUUGAGCAAGGCUUUGUUCUCACCUGCGUUGCUUAUCCCACUUCUGAUGUUGUUAUUGUCACUCACAAGGAGGAGGAGCUCGUUGCUUAAAUCUUGUCAUCACUUUCCUUUCCCACUUCUGAUGAUGUAUGCUGCUUUUUCUUUUUAUGUCUUGUGCCAUUUCUCAGGAUAUACACACCCAUUAUUAUUAUUAUGCAGUAAUUGAUUACUUCACCUGUAGCAGCAGCUGAACUUGUUUUUGUCACUAUAAUAAUCUUUUCUUUACAGUUUUUGCACUCCUUUCCUCUUUCCUCGGCUUCAAUAAUUGAUUACCCUUUUAUGCAUUACAUAUAUACUAUCUAAAUUUGUGUGCUUUCUGCAUUGAUUUUCAUCCUUCUGUCACAUUGGAGUUAACAAUGAUGAGGGUAACUUGCAUCUUACCAAGAAAUAUUGAUGUUAGACUCAAAAAAAACCCACACAAGACUAAAAAAAAACACUAAAUGAUAAUUAGAACAAGUUUUUAGUUUCUUUUUAGUAUUUGUGUGAGUUUUUUUUUUUGAGAGGUUAACAUCAAUCAACGACGGUGGCUUCUUGUUCUUAACUUGGUACUGAAGAUGGUGUUAAUGUCCUGAGACUAAUUGUAUGGCCAACUUUUUUUUACUUUUGUAUCACUUAAAAGAGAUAACAUAUUUAAUUGUAUCUACAGUACAAGGUACAUUUUUCAUUCUCAACUACUUUGUGUCGGUGCCAAAACAUUGAUUUAAGAAUGAUUUCUAUAUCUAUGCCAUGAAGAGUAGUAAAACUUCAAAUAUGAAACAUAAAUGGAUGAUGUCUUCUGUAGCACAUACUUAUGCUUCUCUCCUUCGCCAUUGAAGGACAGUUUUGGGGGAGAGUGAUUGUAUUCGUCUGUAAGUCUUGAGUCAAUAUUUAACAAAGAAAUUGAGAUGAAAAUUCUGGCAAUGCUAAAAUAUCUGUUGGGUAUGGAUUCAAACCUUAAUUAGGAGCAUUGCUUCUGUGAGAAUUCUGCUGUGAACAUGGAGAUGUUACAAAAUUUAUGACCACAAAUUGGAGCUUGUCAUUCUAUCCUUCUUAACAUUUCAAAGGGUGUGGUUGACAAUGCUAUGAUUCAAUGUUUCGAUAUGGUUAUGGAUUACUUCCAAGUCAUACUCUGUUUUUUUCUCUUAUUCAGACUGGUGUCUUGACUCUUUGGUUUGUAUGAGAUUGAUUAAUUGAUGAAUUACUAUGUUGAGGUUUGUCAUGUGUUCUAUGAGUUGUUAGUUGGAGGUUUUUUGGUGUCUUGUUUUGAGAAAGGUUAAGGUUUAUUUUUCUUUAUAAAGAUUGAACUAUCCUGAAAUAGAGAUGUUAAUGUUUAUUUUUCUGUAUAAAAGUUGAACCAUUUGAAUAGUUCAUAUUUAUUUUCUUGUCGAUAAAAAAAAAUAGCAGUUAAAUACUAUACCAAAGUUUUACACAUGAAUAUACACCAAUAAAAAAAAUAAACAGUUUUUCAUUGGUCAAUUAACAAAUUAAAUAAUUAUAAAAAACAAAGGACUGCGUAAAAUGAAAUUCAACCAUGCAAUUCUGAGUGGAAGUUUUGACUGAAUAAUUCGAAAAAACUAGCAUUUUUCAAUUUAUAACCACGGUUGCAUCUCAUGUAAUAGUAAUAUUCAUAAGCAAAAGAAAUAGAAGUGCAUAACCUACUCUCUGAGAGGGCCUGGAGAGGGUGCUCUUGGAACAAAGUUUUGUAACUAUUGAAGAGCCAUUGAAAUAUGCUACUGUUCUGACCUCAAGUCAGUUGGACAGCAUCGCUAGGGUCAAUCACCGCAUCCGAGGUAUUGUCCGCUUUGAAGGUUGGUGCUCCGUCACGGUUUUGUCCUUAAAAGAUGUCUCAAAGGGUGAAGGGAGGAGGGAGUAUAUAAACUGCCCUUGACCUCGAUUCCUGAGCGAUGUAAGAUUGUAUUGGCAGCCUCGAUUGUGAAGAAUCUGUGGAGAUAACAUAGGCACACAGAAUGAAACAUGGUACAAAAUGUUUAGAUGUUCUUUUUAAGAGGAGAUCUAGUCACAACAAUGAUGGUAAAUGUUGAGUUCAUUAAAUAUAUAACAGUUUUGCAAAGAAAAGAAGGUAGCAUGUGAAGUGAAGAAGAUGAAGAAUGUUACAAAAAUGUAUGGUGAAGGGAAGAUGAAUAGACUUGGUAGCAUUCAACCUCCACAUCUUAUUGCACUUUCAAUGCAUUCAAUUACUUCCUCUACCAUAAAUCCAAUUUCAGUAUAAAAAGAUGAAAAUGUUUUUAGAUAAAAUGAAGGUAAUUAUAAAAAUACAUUUAAGAUUUACUUUUUUGGACAAAUAUCUGGAAUGAAAUUUUGAUUUUAUUUUCGAAUUUUUAUUUCUAGAACACAAUAACCUCUUCUAGAUCUAUUUUUUAAAAUAUAUUGUUUUCAAUUCUAGAUUUUUAUUUCGAGAAUGAAGGACAUUUUAAAAAAUUUAAAAUUGUGUAGGGUGCAAAUUUAAAAUGAUUGAGUGUAUGAAGAAUUUGUCUUUAUCAUAGUUCCCACUAUGUUAACCAACACAAUUGCUUGCUGAAAAUUUUCCUCACUUCGUUUUCUUUACAUUUCGACCUUAUGCAGCCUCAAACGUUAAUUUCAAAAGAAAAAUGAUAGUUUGACAACUCUUAAAGUUGUAUACAACUCUUGAUGUGAUAGGUUUAGAAAUAAAUAUAUAUAAUAAAGGAUAAAUUUAUAAUUAAAUGAUAUAAAAAAGUAUUAAAAAUAAUAGUAUUGGAAGUUGUAAUGUGGUUGUAUAAAAAUUUGAAGUUGUUAAUGUAUCAUUACCCAUUUCAAGAAUACAACUUAAACUCAAAAUUACAAAUAAUGGCAUUACAUUAUGCACCCCAUAGUUUCCCAUAAUUUGAAGGUGCAACCAUGGGCAAGAUAAAAAGACAAAAGUAUCCCUACUUUGGAUUUAUAAAAUGCAUAUUAUACACUCUACAAUUCGAAAUGCAUUUUCAAAUUUGGAAAUAUAUUUCUGAAUUUUGCAUUGUUGAAUGUAUUUUUAGAUUCAAAAAUAUAUUUUUGAUAAUUCAAAAUGCAUAUUUUAUUUUGUAUUAUGAAAUACAUUAAUACUAAAAAUAAGGGAAGUUUGAAAAUUUAAAAUCUAUGGAGGUGUAUGCUAAAAUUAUGGGUUAGCCUACAAAUAAUGGGCCAUUGGAUCCGGGUUGCUUCUUCCUGCACCUCCAUACCUUCUUCUCUCACCUCCAUAGAUUUUCGUAUUUCCAAAACUGCUCUUCUGUAAUAUUUCGGAUUACAUAAUUCGGAAGUUAUUUUUCAAAUUUGUAAUUAGCUUUCGGAUUAUAUAAUCUGAAAGUCUUUUUUCAGAUGCAUGAUUACUUUCCGGAUUACAUAAUCUGGAAGUUUUUUUUAACUUCUGGAUUAUGUAAUCCAGAAGUCUUUUUUCAAAUGUGUUUCCGGAUUACAUAAUCCAGAAGUUAUUUUAUGGGGGUGGCACAAGAAGGAUAAAAAUGUAUUUUUCAUGUUGUGUAUGGAGGUGCCAGAAGAAGAUAUGGAGGUGCAGGAAGAAACAGUCUUGGAUCCGAGUCAAACUUUUUAUCUAUACUUUAUUAUAAGGGCUUUUUCUUCUUACACUUCUUAAUUAAUAAUUGCAUCUCAUACUAUGACAAAAAGGCCAAAAUACCCUCCAUUGCUCCACCAUGUCGUCGUCGUUGCAGCUCUAUCUACACUUCCAUGACGAGUUUUUAAUAUCUUUUAGAUUAAAAAUAAUAUAUGAUUUAUAUUCAUUACCACUUGCAUUAAUUUAUAUGUAAGAUUAAUGUUAACUUAAAUAAAUAUUAAAAAGAUAUUAUAUUAAUAUUAAUAAUUACGAAAUUUAAAAAUUAGAACGUAUUUAAUAUUAUUAGUGUUGGUUAAGUUAACUUUAAUGUCUUUCUUUAAAAUAUUAUUAUUACUAAAAAAAUAUAUUUAAUAUUAUUAGAGUCGAUCUUAAUAUUUUUUUAACAUAUUUUUCAUUACUAAAAUAUAUUUGAUAUUAUUAUAGUCGGUUAUCUUUAUUUUAGUAUUAAAAUAUAUUUAGUAUUAUUAGUAAAUUGUCUGUGUUUACCAAGUAUUAACAAAAGUAUGAAAUAUAAAAAAAAAAUGCGAUAUAUAAUUAAAAGAAUAUUUACAGGUUUUUAUUGUUAAUUAAAAAUCAAAACCUUCUUAAAUCACUUCCCAACAAGAGAUCUUACAAAGGACUGUUUCUUCCUGCACCUCCAUGCCUUCUUCUCUCACCUCCAUAUAUUUUCAAAUUUCCAAAAAUGCCCUUCUAUACUAUUUUGAAUUACGUAAUCCGGAAGUCAUUUUUUAAAUUUGUAAUUAGUUUCUGGAUUACAUAAUCUAGAAGUCUUUUUUCAUAUGCAUGAUUAAUUUUCGAAUUACAUAAUCCGAAAGUCUUAUUUAGCUUCCAGAUUAUAUAAUCUGGAAGUUUUUUUUCAAAUGAAUUUCUGGAUUACAUAAUCCGAAAACUACUAUAUGGGGGUGACAUAAGAAGAAUAAAAAUAUAUUUUCAUGUUAUGUAUGGAAGUGGCAGAAGAAAAGAAGAUAUGGAGGUGAGAAACAGUCCUUACAAAGACUUUCAACACACUCUAUUCCAAUUACAUAUGCACCGUACACGUGGCGCUACUUUCACAACAGUCACAGAUGAAUGUGUAAGAAAUAUCUUGCACAGGAUAAAUCUUAACCACUCAUCAUAGUCUCCUCUUAUUAAAACGUGUUACAUGUGUUUUUAUUAAGGAAAAUGAUUGCUUAACACUCACUUCAUCUAAUCCCACUAAAUAUUAAUAUUUUAAUUUUUUUAAUUUUUUAAUUUUAAUUUUUUUUAACAUUUUAUAUUUUUAUUAAAGACAUUCCUUUAUUUUUAUAAUUUAUUUUAUUAUAAAUAUUAAUAUUUUAUUGCAGUGGAAAUUGGAGUAAGGUGUCUACGAAUAAUACGGAGACACGUGGCAGAUAAGGUUGUACGUGACUUCACAUCAUUUUGUGAUCAGACAAUGCUAGUUCAAAAAGCUCCUUGGUUUGGCUUAUCUAUAAAACAGAAGAAGAAGAAGAAGAAGCAGCAGAAGAAGAAGAAGAAGAAGAAGAAGAGGAGGAGAAUGGCGUGUAUGACAGUAGCUAUGUGUGGCCCUGCCUUGAACACCUCCUUCCUUAGGAGACAUGCAGUGAGUCUGAAUGCAUUCCCCAAGGCCAAUGCAGUGUUUGGUGUGAAAGGAGGAGGUGGAGGUCGUGUCACUGCCAUGGCUAAACACAAGGUGAAGCUUAUCACCCCAGAGGGUGAAAAAACCUUUGUCUGCUCAGAUGAAACCUUCAUUCUUGAUGCUGCAGAAGAAGUAGGCCUUGACCUUCCCUACUCAUGCAGGGCUGGUGCCUGCUCUUCCUGUCUUGGCAAAGUUGUGAAUGGCCAAGUGGACCAGUCAGAGGGUAGCUACCUAGAUGACGAUCAAAUCGAUCAAGGAUAUGUUCUUACAUGUAUUGCUUACCCCACCUCUGAUGUUGUUAUCCAGACCCACAAGGAGGACGAACUCGUUGGAUAAAUCUCCCUUUCCCACCAUUUUCUUAGAAUAUGCUUCUUUUGUUUCAAAUGUGAUGGAGGAGGAAGAUUGUUAUUGCAUGAUCAAGGUAUUUUAGUUUUGUUUUAUGCUGUUAGUUAGACUAUAGAGAAUGAACUCCACCUUCAGAAUCUCAUCAAACUUUUUAUUAUGUGUUGGUUAUUGGUUCAGGGAAUUUGUAGUCACUGUAGUAAUGUUUUCCUUGUUGGUUGAGUUAAGAACUCUGAUGUUAGUUGCUUGUUCUGAAUUCAUGCUGAUCUUAAUGGUGACUUUGAUUCUUAUCUGCACCAUUUUAGAUCUUUUGGGUUGUUGGAAGCUAAGAGUCAUGCACAAUGGAGGGUCUAACUACACCUAAAAUUCAUAUAAGAUUAGAAAAUAAGUUAGUUUACAAACUCAAAUUCUACUCUGAUUCUGAGAAGAGUUUCUGAGGCAUUAUAUGAUAUAAAACAUUACAAUUGAUUUCUCUGUCUGAAUAAAAGAAAUUAUUUGAUAGUAAACAAAUAGGAUUAAACUGUAUUAACUUUAAGUUUAAUUCAACUUCAUAAAAUCGAUUUAUGAGGUGAGAUUUUAUAAGGUGAGGUAUCGAAAAUGAUUAUGAUACUAUAUUAAAGAGUGGACAUUAAAGAGCGAACUUCAAGCUUAACUCAACUUUUCGCUUCCACUUAUAAAGAAUGAAAUGUACUGUUGUUGGAGAUCUCUACUUGAAGAUGCUGGCUUAUGGUUUGAAGCCAUUUCUCUGAUGUAGUUAAAGAAAUUUAGUAUAAGGUAAUAAGAUAGAAGAAGAAAGCUAGGAUUGUCACACUUCAUUCAUUCAUCAAACACAGGAGAUGGAAAUGAGUUUUUAGAUUGAGUUGUCUCCUUUUAAGAAAGAUGUUUUCAUUUUGCAGUAAAAAUGUCCCACAAAUUUUUCAAGAAUUUUACACAAGGACUACUGUGUGAUCAAUACAAAGAAACAGUUUUUAUGGGCUAAUUACUGAAUCAAACAUGGUACAAAAUGUUUAGAUGUUCUUUUUAAGAGGAGAUCUAGUGGCAACAAUGAUGGUGAAUAUUGAGUUCAUUAAAUAUAUAACAGUUUUGCAAAGAAAAGAAAGUAGCAUGUGAAGUGAAGAAGAUGAAUGCUACAUAAAUGUAUGGUGAAGGGAAAGAUGAAUAGGCUUGGUAGCAUUCAACCUCCACAUGUUAUUGCACUUUAUUGGAUGAAUCUUUUGCAUUCAAUCCAUUAAUUGCAGGCAAUUACUUCCUCCAACUAAUUUCAGUAUGAAAAGACGAAAAUAUUCUUAGAUAAAAUGAAGGUAUAUAUAAAAAUACAUUUCGGAUUCACUUUUUUAGAAAGAACAAAUUUUUUGUAUUAGGGAUUUUUUUUAUCUGUAACGAAAUUUUGAUUUUAUAUUUUCGGAUUUUAUUUUUGGAGCACAAUAAUCUUUUCUGGAUUAUUUUUUCAGAAUACAUCGUUUUUAAUUCUGGAAUUUUAUUUUCAGAACAAAGGAUAUUUUCAAAAUUUUAAAUUUGUAUAGGGUAUAAGUUAAAAAUGAUUGAGUGUAUGAAGAAUUGGGCUUAAUUGUAUCACAGUUCCCACUAUGUUAACCAACACAAUUGCUUGCUGAAAAUUGUAUCAUAGUUUGAACACAAUUCACAAUUCCAAAUCCUAAAUCCUAAACCAACACAAUUCACAAUUCUAAAUGUAUUUUCAAAUUUGGAAAUAUAUUCUGAAUUAUACAAAAUAAAAUAAAAUAGAUUAAUGUAUUAUGAAUUAUGCAAUUGAAUGUAUUUCUAGAUUCAAAAAUAUAUUUUAAGAAUUCAAAAUGCAUAUUUUAUUUGGUAUUAUGAAAUACAUUCUAGAAUACUAAAAAUAAACAUCCUAAACUAUGGAGGUGCAGGCUAAAAUUACGGGUUAGCCUAUAAAUAAAUAAUGGGCCAUUGGAUCCAAGUCAAAAUUUUAUUUAUACUUUAUUAUAAGGGCUUUUUCUUCUUACACUUCUUAAUUAAUAAUUGCAUCCCAUACUAAGACAAAAAAGGGAGAUAAUUAUUUCAGAAAACUCGUCAUGAAAAUUAUUAUAUAUGUUUUCGAAAUCUUUGUUCCAUAAAUCCUGUUACAGGAUGUUCGGGAAAGUUUAUUUUUGGAAAAAGUUUAUUCCAAAAUACAUUUUAUAUACUAUUAUGAAUGUGAAUAUUUAUUGUUUAAAUCAUAAGGUUUUAGAUUAAAAAUAAUAUAUGAUUUAUAUUCAUUAUUACUUGCAUUAAUUUAUAUGUAAGAUUAAUAUUAACUUAAACAAAUAUUAAAAAUAUAUUAUAUUAACAUUAGGGAUUACGAAAUUUAAAAAUUAAAACAUAUUUAAUAUUAUUAUAAUUGGUUAAGUUAACUUUAAUAUUUUUCUUUAAAAUAUUAUUAUUAUUAAAAAUAUAUUUGAUAUUAUUAUAGUCGGGUCAAGUAUAAUAUCUUUAUUUUAGUAUUAAAAUAUAUUUAAUAUUAUUAGUAAAUUGUUUGUGUUUAACAAGUAUUAAAAAAAAUAUAAAAUAUAAAAAAAUGCGAUAUUAAAUAACGUGUUACAGACGUAUUACACACCGAUACUCUCGUAGGAUGUCUCUCAUUCAAGUGUCAAAUUCAAAAAAUAUUUGUUGAAUUUCUAACAAUUCUAGCAUGAUUUUAACACAAUUUUUUUAAAAAUAUAAUUUUUUAAAAAUUUAAACUUAUUAUAUAAAUUUUUAUUGUAAUUAUAAAAAUAAAAACCAAAUACUUUUGAAUGAGCUAUGAAAAAAACAUGUUUUUUUAAAAUAAAAAUAAAAAUAAUUGUACAUAUAAAUAUUUAUUAAUAAAUAGGUUAUCGAGGUUUCAUUCUUAGAUGGUAACACCUUAAAUAUGUUGCAAAUAAUGAAAUUUGACAAGUUAUAAUUUUGUAAAUAAGAAAUAAAUUAAAAAAGAAAAUUAAAUUUAUAAUAAAUCUUACACACACAAAAAAUAGUGAAUAUAAUGAGAGAUAGAAUGAUGCCACGUGGCAGAUAGGGUUGCAUGUGGCCUUACCUCAUGCACGUUAUAAGCACACUAUUUCUUCAAGCUCAUGCUCCCAUUUGUUAUCCAUCACCAACAACAACAACAACAAGCUUGCAGUGACCAAUGGCUUCGAUCACACCCGCUUCCUGUGGCUCUGUGUUGAACACCUCCUUCCUCAGGAAGCAGCCUCUGAACCACACAAGCCUCAAGGCAUUCUCCAAUGCUAAUGCUGUCUUUGGUGUGAAAGGAGGACGUGGAGGUCGUGUGACAGCCAUGGCCAGCUACAAGGUGAAGCUUGUGACCCCAAGUGGAGAGCAAGAGUUCAGUUGCCCAGAUGAUGCAUACAUUCUUGAUGCUGCAGAGGAAGAAGGCAUUGACCUUCCUUACUCAUGCAGGGCUGGUUCUUGCUCUUCAUGUGCUGGCAAAGUUGUGGGUGGCCAAGUGGACCAGUCUGAUGGUAACUUCCUUGAUGACGACCAAAUUGAACAAGGCUUUGUUCUCACCUGUGUUGCUUAUCCCACUUCUGAUGUUGUUAUUGUCACCCACAAGGAGGAGGAGCUCGUUGCUUAAAUCUUAUCAUCACUUUUGUUAUUAACAUUCUAUUCUUCUGGUUUUUCUUUGACGAGUGUAAGAAAUUUAUACGUUUGUGUUAGCUGUAUAUGUGGUUCUGUUGGAUUCCUCGUAUAUGUUUUUUAUGUUUUUUGGACUUAUAGUUUCUCUUACUUUGCGUAAGAGAUUAUGAGUCUUGUUAGGAUUGGAAAGUGCAACAAUUGAAGUUUGUUUUUAUAUCUUAGUGCCAUUUUUCAGGAUAUAAACGUGUGUUGUGCUUGUUCAUGAACAACUUAUUCUGCAUUAACUCGUUAAUUACUUCACCUCUCUGGUGAUAUGUAUCAAAUAUUUAUAAAAAUACACUGGUUUUUGUCAUGCACAUUAGUGAAUUAUACUAAUAUUUCGAGCAGUUAGAGUUCCGAUAUGCUAAAAUUUGUUAACCUUCAUAUAUAUUAAAAAGAUAGAUGAUAUAUCUAAUAUUGUAUCUGAAUGAUUUAAAUGUCUAUGCUCAUUUAAGAAUGAUUUGUACAUCUAUGCUCUAUGAAGUUCCAACUAGUUCUGAAGUAAAAUAAAACACUAAUGAAUCAUGUUUUCUGAAACAAAUCAAGAAGAGUGAUAGCUUUUGCUUUGAUCUUCAACGUUGUGGGGAAUUAGUAUAUACAGAUUCAGACAAAUAUUCAGCUACCUUGAAUGUUUUGCCUUGUUGGGGGUCUCCAACUUCAGCUGUUCUACUGAACUCACUGUUAUCUGAUUCAAAGACCCUAAAGAAGAGGAUCGAGUUAGAGUCCCAGAUGCUACUGUCAUUUCGUCCCUCUCAUCAAUUGUUGAUUCCAGGGAGCAUACUGAUCUUGCAGUGUGUGAAUGCAACGAAUCAUGCUUAGACUUGUGUUUCACUCUUUUACACCAACUAUGCAGAGACUCUCUAACACUCUCUGUCACCAAGGCCUUCUUGCAUUUCGAUCCCAUCUGAGGCCAAUCAUCAAAUAAAUUUACUUUCAUCACGUUUUCGUUAGAACACUUUGUUAAGAACUUAACAAUGAGCAUUAAGCCAACCUGAGAAACUAUUAUGCUCAGGGGCACUGUCAUGUAGCUACACCAGAACUGAACAAUAGCACUGCAAGUUUCAAAAUAACGAAAUGUGAGUCUUCCUGGUGGAAAAAUCGAACUAAUUCUCUCUCAGGUGUAGAUACAAAAUUGACUCUUGCGAAAGCAAUAAGCAAAUAAAAGAAAAAUAGAAAAAUAGAAAUGAGAGAAUAGAUAUCGAAAUCCUAGUCAGAUGUUAGAGAGAAAUUAGAUGAGAUUGAAUGUUAUCCUCACUGAGAAAAAUAAAUAUUGUAAUUCUAGUUUUAUAGUGAAAAUAUUUUCUAGAUUAGAUAUAGUAGAUUUUACUUCUUAAGUGGAGGAAGUUUUCUUAAGUUAAAAGAUUGGAGUAGUGUAAAAUCCAGAAAGUUGGUAAAGAAAGUAGAACAAAAAAAUCUUGAAAGAGAGACGACACCAACCCAGAUGCCAACCGAAUGAUGAUCAUGUAAUGAUUUCUCAUGAAGCACGAUUGUUCUUGGAAUCCCCACUACAAAAACAGAAAUUGAAGAUAAUUCAUUGAACAAAAGCAAGUCAUAAGUCACGUAUACAAUCUUGAAAAACUGAAGUCUUACCAAUGUCCAAAUAAACGUUGCCAUUUCAAAUGCAUUCUGCAUGAACAGUGGAGAAAAUAAGAACAGAAAACACAACCAUGCAGCAUGACCUACUUACAAAUAAAGUGUUAUCGAUUCUUACCUGAAAUAUGACAAACUGUAUCAGCCAUAACAGUAUAUCUGGUUUUUUAAACCAGAAUAGAUCAUCGCGUGGCUUUACUUGUGUCCUAGGAAACGGACCUGUCUGCUCCAUAAUUUCAAGUGCUAAGGUGGAUACAACAUGUUGAAGCUUUGCCCCUAUCAACAUCACAAGCUUUUACGUGUAGAGAAAUCAGACCUUGAUGGAAAUAACUUUCAAUGGACUUUUUCAUUUUGAUUUGUUAAAACAACAAAUUAGAAUAUACAUACAAUUGCAGGGAUAAAUGAUAGCCAGAAGUAUAUAUUCAGACCUGCAAAUUUAGAAACUUAAAUAUCUGAAGAAAUUAAUUUUAAAGACACUAACAAUAUACUAUGAUUCUGAAGAGAAGCUACCGUGGAUGUUCACGAAGAUGCACACUAUGGCAUAAAUCCAAAGCAGCCAGCUGCAAAAUUGAAAAAAAAGGGUUAUUCAGCUGUUAGUUUUCUCAUUGUUUUUCUUAGUAGAAGUCUAAUGUUGAUUAGAAAAAACAUUUGUAUUGGAAACUUCAUUUCCCAUCACUCAAUUCCCUAUGCUAAUCAUGAUUCACGAGCAUGCUAUGUUAGUUAAUUAAGCAACUUACAGUUAAUAACUUGCAUCGGUUUUCAGAAACACCAGUUAAAAGAAGAAAUCCAUUUCAAAAUGGUUCUUACCUUAUUCCUAGAAUGCCAUGAAAUUCAUCUUCCAUGCUUCGAACCAUAUAUUGAUGGAAAUUAUAAGAUAACGGCAAAUUGUGUUCCUGUAAAUUUGUGAAUACGAAAAUUACUUCGAUUUAGAAGAAUCAAAUAAAAGAUUAGGCAAUCAGGGAACAAUAGUGGACCAACAAGUCUCCAGCAUGCAUUAUUUUAUCCAACAUCCUUCAACAGAUAAGAAACUUACAGUGAUGAAACCUAAACGUAGUGCAAGGUAAUCUGAUUUUCGUAUAGAGCUCCUAAACUGACGUAGGAAACAGAGCUGCAAGAUCAGAUCACAAACAUUAAUCCAUUAUAUUCAAACUGUGCACAAGGAUGACACCAAAAACAUUUAGAAACUAGGAGUUGCUAGAAAGAUGUUUAGAUGGGUGAGUUGCUAGAGAAAUUAUGCAUCAAAAGGCCAUCCCAGUAAAAGCAGCACACAAAUAAUUAAGGAUGUGCCAUUUAUGUUGAAAUGUUACCAUCCAGUUUAGGAUUGGACUCCUGCUCCAUGGAUGAGAAGUGCGAUGGAAAAUAAAUGUUGUCUGUCGCUUCAUCAACUUGAUUUUCUUUGCUGUUUAACAAAAAUUAAUAAAAAGUUUAGGACAUAGAUUAAUCUGUUCUAUUCAAUGCAGAAGUGUUUGUCAGAUUUCAUUCAUGAUAUGAUGUCACAUUUUAAGACCAAUCGUUAUGAAGUAACCAUUCUAUGCCAUUUACCUUGCUGGUUUCCAUCACUUGGCAUCCUAGCCUGAUUUUCCCAUCUGCGCCAACUAUAGAUCUACAAACACUUGCAACAAAGAUAAAAUAAAUGAUAUGAACCAGACUACCAAACAUAGAAAACAACAGCAAUGAAGACAACUCCAAGUGAUCGAUUGGAACAAGGAUCCCUUAAACAAAGACACUAAUUUAACCAUUGGCAUUACUGGUUAGAAGAGCAUGAUGUUGCUAAAACACCUCUGGGGUUGAUGUUGUACAUGUAGUAAACUGAAAAUUAUGAUGACUUACCUUACUCAUUGCCAAACCAACUGCCAGACAACUAUACAAAACAUGAGUGAUUCCGAGAACAAAUAAGAACCGGUGCAGCUGCUCAAGACCUUCAUAUGAAACAAAAGGUUCAUGACCCUGCAUUCAUGUAUUAGUAUUUUUGGAAGGGCUAUGCAGUAUUGCAAAGAAACAAAGAUUUAAUAUUAAGUAUGACAUUGACACUAUAUGCAAGAUAUUUAGUGGCUAACAUUAUACUCACUGCAGUGAAGAAAGCAAAGCUUAAAUGUAGUUGUAAUUAGUGUAUGUUACCUCUCCACAUUGGUUGAAUGCUCCAGUAAUACUAGUUUCAUCAGGGAUAGAUGAUGAUGAGCUUUCCAGCAUGAUAUUCUCAUUUAUGUCCACGUCUUGCUCAGAACAAAUAUAAAAUCGACUGCUAAAAAGUGACGAAGUCACACAAAUUUCAGAGAUCCAUCUUGCACUUUGUGCCAACAGCAAAGAGAUAAGUCCAAGCAACAUCAGCUCUAUCACAAAAGAAAAAACAGAUACUAAUCUUUAAGUCUAAGUCAAUCUCGUAAAACUGGUUUAUAAGAUAGGUUUACACCCAAAUAUAUAAUAUAAAAUAUUCUAAUCUCCGGUUAAUAUGACAUUUACAACAGUAACUCAAGAACAUAAGGCAUAAUGGAAAUGUGAAAUAAUACUCAGUGUCACUACCUUCCUUGAGUUUCUCCAGUGAAGCAAAAAGUGCCUUCCUUCUUGUUUUCUUCAACCACUGCACAACAAGAAAAAAAAGUUUCAUUUCUACUUAUCAUGGGAAGUAGCAACCCAGAAAGUAACCAGUGAAAAGGGUGAUUUGUUCACUCUACAGUGUACUACUACACAUAAAUUUGCAGUGUUUACCUCUCCAAAGCGGUAGAUUGAACGUUCAACCAAUAAGCAGACAAAGACCAUGACAGCAACAACAGAGGCAACUGAAUAUGUUGGUGUCUCAGCCAGAGAGCGACCUCGCUGCAGCACCUCUGCCAUUGUUCACUUCAAAGCAACAAGUUGAAGUCUUUUUCAUGGGAAAAACAUAGUUCCUUGAUUCCACAUAAAUGGAGCCAGAUGGGAUCCAGGGAAUGGGGAAGUGCAGUGCAAAACGGAAGUGUAUCUUAGUUUAAUAAUUAUUUGGUGAAGAAGGUGCAUGUGCACAUUGGAAACUUCACUCACCUUACACAAAAAACUUCAUUAUUUAUUUAAUCUUUAGUUGUUGGUUUAUAUAUAUGUUUUAUGUUAUUUUGGAUUUUGAUAUGUUACUAUACUUUAACCAAAAUAUUCAUAUUUGUUUAUUCUUUUUUGGUGAUAAAAAAAGUUAAUUAUUAUUUUCUGAGGCCACACAACCUUGUUCACUUUCCAGUGUCGUGCUUUUUCCUCUCUCCAAAUCGAAAAGCAUGCACAUGGAGGGUUUCCCAGUCUCCCAGGUAAGUUGCUAAUAAUUUGUAAGUUGGAAGGGUCCCAAUAGAAACCUGGUAUAUUCUAUGCAUGUGGAUGCUGAUACGAUCAAUAUCAAUUCCCAACAAAUCAAACUACAAAAGGAAACAGAAAAUACUAACAGAAAAUAAUAAAAGAACUUUGAUAUAUAAUAUGAUGAGAUAAAGAGGAAUAAGAUACAUUAAUUUGGUAUUUAUAUCAUCAGUUAAAUAUAAGUUAAAUAUAUUUUUCGUUUUUUCUUUUAACAUGAAAUUGGUUUUAAUUCUUGUUCUAAACUUUAGAUUAUCCAGUUAUUUAUAAUAUAGAAAUUAUAGAAAUGAGUUAUUGUAUACGUGAAAUAAUUACAAGUUUUUUCAAGAUUUGUUGAUGUUUUGAUUGUAAAUACUUACUAAAAUUGUUUUUAAUGGUUGAUGAAUUUCAAAUUGAAACAAUUGUAUAUAUUAAAUGAUCUAUUUCAAUCAUUUUUAUACUACAAACAACUGGAUGAUAUAAAAUUUGAACCAGGAACGAAAAUCAGUUGAAGAGACCAAAACCAAUUUCGUGUCUUAGAAUUUAAGGUUUAGUACAUGGACGUUAAAAUCUUCAAGAUUUUGUUUUUAGAGUGGUGUUUAAUUUUUUAAAUAAACUCUUAUUAAGGUUUGAUUCUCAAAAUGAUAGAAAAAAACUCAUCAGAACAAAUAAUCACUAUUAAGCAUGAUUUUCAAAUGAGUAUUAUUCGUUGAAAAAAUGCAUAUAUACUUCACACUUUAUUGAGUUAUUCAUUUAUUUUAAGAUAAUUUUAUGUUUGAAAACAAAUGAUAAUCUAUCAUGAAUAUUAGUUUCUUAUGUUUUUUAUAUAUUUUAAAACAAAUAUAGGAUAUUAAUUUUUUUGAGUCAUAUUUUAAAUAUUUUAAAAAUAAAUUAUUAACAAUUAAAAGUUACUUUUGAUCACAAUAUAACUAUUUACUAUACAGAUAAAAUAUAAUUUGAAUCUAACUUUCUUGAAUUGAAAAGUUCAAAUAAUGUAAAAGACUAUAAUGUCUUAAUCAUCUUGUCUUAUUGAAUAUAAAUAUAUCAAGUGUUGAAAAAUAAAUGAGGCGUGGAUCUAAUUUUUAUAAACUUAAAGAAAAGUUGUAAUGGUGUAAAAAUACUACAAUAGAUUUAUUUUCUUAUUUUAUAUAUCUAUAAAAUAUAAAAAAAUAAUAAUCUUUAUGGACAAAAGUUGUGAGAUUAUCUUACUUUUAAGCUAAAUGCUUAGAUAAUAAUUUUAUUUAAUAAAUACUUUCAUUUUAAUUAUACAAGUUUAUAAAUUGUAUAAAUACAAUUAUUAAUAGUUUAGUGAUUUGAUGAUAAAAUACUUAAACCUUUGUAAAUAGGAUUUAAAAAUUUGAAUUUAAUCUUUUGGUGAUAUUAGUAAUCCAUUGUGAUGUUAGUAUCAAAUAGUGACACAUGUUAGAAUAAACUAUCCACAGUGUACACAUGUCCUAUUAGGUUAACACAAUCUUUUUUUUAAGUGUAAUUUAAUUGAACUAUUUAUUUUAUUUAGACUUACUUAUUAAAAUUGUUUUAAAGAGAUUAAUUUUAAUUCGUGUUAUGGUUUGAGUAUUAUUUAAAAAAAAAAAAUUGUGCUUUAAGUACUCUUAGUGUAAUUUAUUUGAGUUAUAUUUUUAAAGUGAUUUUUGGAUAAUUCAAUUUAAAAAUACACAAAUAUUUAUUUUAAAAUAUAUCUAUAAAUAUUCAUAAAUACCCGCGAUUAUUUUUCUCUCAUAACCUAUGUAGCCUAGACACUAACACACAGACAUUGAUUCGACAUGUACACGAAUAUAUGUAUAAUAUUUAAAAUGUAGGACACAAAUUUAUAUAUUAUAUAAUUAUAAAUUAUAUAAAUUGAUAAUAAAGAUUUAUGUUUAUGUGCACAAGUAUGUUUUAAUUUUUUUAGAAAAAAUAUGUUUUUUUUAUGUCUAGUUAAAAAAAUUGUUUUUUUAUUUUUAUAAUCAUAAUAAAAAUUUAUAUAAUAAGUUUGAAUUUUUAAAAAAUUAAUAUUUUUUUAAAAAAAUUGCGUUAGAGUCGUGCUAUAAUUGUCAGAAAUGCAAUAAAUAUUUUUUUAAGUAGACACUUCACUCAUACAUAUCUUACGAGAUGUCCAAUAUAUAUAUUCGACACGAAAAUAUUAUUUAAGAGUGAUUUCCAAACCUUAGGUCAAAACUCAACAAAUGGAUAAUAUAUUUUUUAUUUUUUAUUUUUCUUACAAUUGUUUUUUUUUUUAGUAUUUGUUGUUCUAUCAAUACACAUAUUACUAAUUUUUGUAUAGUUAAAUAUGGGAUUUUUAAGGACAACCUUGUUAUAUUUAUUCAGGGAAAGUCACAUAUAAUAUAAUACUUUAUCUAAAUUUCCUUACUACACUUAUUUCUUUGUUAUAUUAUUGCUUCAAAUUUUAAAUAUCAAUAAGAGAAAAUAUUAUUAUUUUAUUAAUUAUAAAAGAAUACUUUAUAUAUUACAUGUAAGAAAAAAAUUGAAAGAAAAGGGGGUUGCAUAACCAUUCAUACCAUUUAUUCCGUUCCUUAAACCAUUGAAAUUGAGCCUCAAAUAUUAGAAGAAAGAGAUUCCUAAAACCCUAAUCUUCCAAAACCCUACACUCUCUCAUGGCGUCGUCGUUAAUUCGCCUCCGCCGAACCCUCAGAGCACUCUCCGGCGUCACCCACUCCAUCUCCGCCGCGCAUGCGUCGUCCAUUUCGGCCCCUAUCAGGUGCGCCGUUCCAUGGAGUUCCCACUCUCCGAAGGGUGUGGUUCAGUCCCGUUCUUUCAGGUCAUCAUCAGCUUCUUUUCUCUCUGUUAGAUCCUCGCAGAGCAACAUCCCCGACGAGAUUGGUCCCGAUACCAUUCUCUUCGAGGGCUGCGACUACAACCACUGGCUCUUCGUCAUGGACUUCCCCCGAGACAACAAACCCUCUCCCGAAGACAUGGUUCGCGCUUAUGAGGAAACUUGUGCCAAAGGCCUCAACAUCAGGUUCCUCACUUCAUCUCUCGUACAACUCUUCCUAUCACAAUGUUUUGAUUAUAACUCGUUCGCAUACACCAAAAAUAAGUUAGAUUAUGAAAAAAAUAUCGAUGAGUGCGAGCAACACACUCUAUUAUCGAUAACUGCAAAAUCAUGUGUGGAGGUCGUUGAUUAAAAUUAGAAACAGUGAAAUUUUGUGAUUUUCAGCCAAUUUUAGUUGAGAGCGUGUUGAUGUGUUGGUACUGGUGGUCUUUACUUGAAUAUUUGGGUUUUUUUUCAGUGUGGAAGAGGCGAAGAAGAAGAUAUAUGCGUGCAGUACAACAACUUACACAGGCUUUCAGGCAGUCAUGACCGAAGAAGAGUCUAAAAAAUUUGAAGGUAUUUGUUCCUGCUUCUCACUCUCGAAUUCCAUGAUCAUGUCGAGAAAAUAUAAUUUGGUGUUUGAUUUGUUGCAUCUUAACAGGUCUUCCUGGAGUCAUCUUUGUGCUACCAGAUUCCUAUAUUGAUCCAGUGAACAAGCAGUACGGGGGUAUGGUUAUUUUUUUCUUUUCAGAAGUUUGAUUGGAUUUAUUCAUUACUUGUUCAAAUUUCAGUAUUUGCUAUAUCAUGUGCACUUCAACAGUUUGCUACCCUUUUGAUUACAAGAAUGUUUCUGAAAUAAAGUUUUCGUGGUUGAUAAAUAGGAGAUCAGUACAUUGAUGGAACUAUUAUCCCUCGACCUCCACCAGUACAGUAUGGGAGAAAUCAAGGAAGACGAGACCGGAAUAGGAGUCCUGGUCAGUACAACCGACAAGAGAAUCCCUCUUAUAAUAGUCAGGAGUCCAUGCAUGGGGAUGGAAGGAACUAUGGACCUUCACAAAAUUAUCCACCCUCACAGAACUAUGGUCAAGCAUCACAGAAUUAUCCACCUCAGCAGAACUAUGGUCAAUCAUCACAGAAUUAUCCGCCUCAGCAGAACUAUGGCCAAGCAUCUCAGAAUUAUCCACCCCAACAGAAAUAUGGCCAGACCUCACAGAACAAUCCUUCCCAACAAAGUUAUGGCCAGACAUCACAGAACAAUCCUUCCCAACCAAAUUAUGGCCAGACAUCACAGAACAAUCCUCCCCAACAAAAUUAUGGCCAGACAUCACAGAACAAUCCUCCCCAGCCAAAUUAUGGUCAAUCAUCUCAGAAUUAUCCACCACAACAGAGAUAUGGCCAGACAUCACAGAACUAUUCUCCCCAACAAAAUUAUGGCCAAGCAUCACACAAUUAUCCACCCCAACAGAAUUAUGGUCAGGCAUCACGCAAUUUUCCACCCCAACAAAAUUACGGUCAGACACCACAAAAUUAUCCACCCCAGGAGAACUUUAAUCAAGCAUCGCAGAAUUAUCCACCUCAUGCUCAGCAGCAGGGCUUUGGACCUCCAGGACAAGGGGAAAGGAGUUAUAUGCCACAGCAGAACUUUGGACGACCGGGACAAGGGGAAAGAAGAGAUACUGUGCCUAGGCAUGGUGCUUCAGAUGUGAGGGAUGAUACUUUUAUACCGUCAUACAUGAAGGAAUUUGAACAGGCUGAGCAGCAGGGGAAUCAACCUUCUGGCCGAGGCAAUUUUACUGGAGAGGUAUUGUAGAGAACCAAAAUUGAGUACAUUCAAGUUUCUGAGUCAAAUUAGUCAGAAUAGAGAUUAAAACUGAUGUUAAUAUUUAGUUCAAUAUAUUUUAUUGCGGGUCUGUAUUCGUUGAGGCUAGAUCUUUGCUAUUGGAAAAAAUUUCAACUUUGUCUCUAUCAAUACAAAAGAUAACUUGCUUUUGUUAUUUUUUGCAGGGAAGAUAUUGAGAGUAGUCGGAGACAUGUGGGCGGCUUGUAUUAAAGUACUAAUCACAUUCUAAGCUGAUUUGCAUGUCCUUUCCAUUUGGUGGAAUAUUGAUUUAUUGAGCUGUCGGUGUGUAUCGAUUAACUUUUAGUUCAUGCACUGCUGUGACAAAGUUGGAUGUGGUAUGUAAUUUAGUACUGGCUGCUACCUUGUUUUUUGAACAUGGUUGAACUCUGAAUUUCACGUGGUACUUUGCUCUCUUACUCCUCUUUCUCGUUCUCAUUGUGACGAACGAAACAGUUAAUAAUUGUGAAUUUGCUCUGUAUCAUGUGGCAAAUUGGUCAGUUUCCAUAGGCAGCCUAGUGCCAUAGCCCACACCCAACGUCCAUGUCUUACUCUUUUGUUUGAUAUCUUAAUUUGGCAUAUAUUUCAAGUUUUGGAAGAUCUAAUUCUUCUGAUGAUAAAAGUUGUUAGUGAGAAGUGCGGUUGAAGCAAAGAAGAAAAGGAUUAUUGUGCUAAUGACUGAGAAUAGUGGGCAUUAAAACAUAUUCAAAGAAUGUUCUUGGUCUGGCUUCAAUGUGUCUGAGGCUCCCAAGGAAAAUCAGACUUCUAUUAUCAGUGGCAGUUUUGAGGCUUAAGCUGAAAUGACAUGGAUAUAUGAACUCCUUCCACGUAUAAUCACUGAAUUCUAAUGCUUCUUUACACGAACAACAAUAAAUAUUAUUCUUAACAUCAAUUUUAGUAAAACAAUAUCACUCUUUCAAUAAAUGUAUUGGCAAAAUAAUGCUUUGUUGAAGAGUAAGGAAAUAGAUUAAUUGACAAACAAAACUAUUAAGACUGUUGGCAACACACUCGAAAAGGAUCUACUGAAAACAAAAGAUUUGCCUGAUUGAAAAAAAAAACAUCAAGAAAAGGAAGGGAUAAUAACUUUUUUUUUGCAAAUAAAUUUUAUUUACAAGUUGAAGUUGUACCACACCAAAUAUAAAGUAGUCAUAUAAGAAAAUACUAAAGAUAAUCACAUUAAAUUGCAUUAUUACCCAUAUGCUCAAUAACAAAAUUCUUUCUCCAAUAAAUUCCAAAUACAAGAUAAUCCUUCUAAAGGCUACUAACAUUGCUAUAGUAAAGGUCUCGAUUAAAGGGCAUUACUGAACCCUAAAACAGGAACUAAAUUUCUUCUUUUCAAAAGAAAAUAAAAAAGAACAUUAACAAUUGAUUACAACAAAAAAUUACAGACAGACGAAUAAGAAAACUAGAAAUUGAAAUUUAAUUGAAUAUUCUAACAACAACGCCAAAUUUAAUCAAUGUCAUACUCAACCAAAUUAAAAAAUUAAAAUAUAAAUAGCCGACUUCACAAAAACGACAAUAAAAUUCAAUUAUAAUAGUUGAUAUGUUUUUUUUACCUAUUAAAUUAAGCAAAUAAUUGUAUGGAAUUAAGUAAAUUAAACAUAAAUUAUAAUUAACGAACAAAAUCAAGUUAUCGCGUUAAAAAACAAUUCCAAAAUCAAGGAUCAGAAGUAAAAAAAAAAAACAUAUUAUCUAGUGCAAUCUAACACAGAAAUUGAUGAACAGAAAUCACACGAGAAAACAUAAUAUGUUACAUAUGCCAAUUAGGUUAGUGCACUUAAGAAUAUAAAUUCAACCAAUAAUUACAGUUAAAGUCCAAUUAAAUUACAUUAUAUGAAUUCUAAUUGAAACUAAGUGAAAUGUAUUUAUCCUUAAAUUCAUCUUGAAUUAAUAUAAUUUCAAUCAAAAGAUUAAAAAAAAAAACUAUUAAAAAUUUAGAACAAUCGACCACAGUGGGAGUCGAACCCACGACCUUCUGAUCCGAAGUCAGACGCGCUAAUCCACUGCGCUAUGCGGUCUUUGUUGACUAUUCUACAUUCAAAUAUUUUAAAUAUGUUAUUAUUAGAUCCUUUUGGUUACAACUGAACCAUUGCUAUAACGUAUUUUUGUCAAUACAAGUAUGUGGGUAGUUAUUUUAUGCAUGAACUCACUGGAAGCGACGUCGUUUCAGAUAAAGUGAAAAAUUAGAAUAAAGCGGGAGUUAGGGUUCGAGCACAACCUUGUUCGUGUGCGAGGGUUGCAGAGAGAAGCGAAUCGAAUCGGAAUGAGCGGUUGGGUGAAGCGACGCGGCGACGGUGUCGUCGGGAGCAGCAGAGAGGAAGAUCAGCUCAUAGUCACUCCAUUAGGCGCCGGAAAUGAGGUUGGCCGUUCCUGCGUCUACAUGUCCUACAAAGGCAAAAUCGUCUUGUUCGAUUGCGGCAUUCACCCUGCUUACUCCGGCAUGGCCGCUCUCCCCUAUUUCGACGAGAUUGACCCUUCCACCGUCGACGUCCUCCUCAUCACUCACUUCCACUUGGACCACGCCGCCUCCUUGCCCUACUUUCUCGAGAAAACCACCUUCCGUGGCCGCGUUUUCAUGACCUACGCCACCAAGGCCAUUUACAAGCUCCUCUUGUCCGAUUUUGUCAAAGUCAGUAAAGUCUCCGUCGAAGACAUGCUCUAUGACGAACAGGACAUCAACCGCUCCAUGGAUAAAAUCGAGGUUCUCUUCUCAUUUUCGCCUUUUCUGCUUCUCGCUACUUAAAUUUACUUCUCCGUCACUACUCGUAGAAGGAAAAUUAACAAGGUGUGGUGAAUUCAGUUUUUCGUAUAAGCUAAGCAAAAUCAACUUCCAAUUUAUUUAUCUAGGGUUGUAGUUUAGUUUAUCUCUUUAAUGUUUGCUUACAGAAAUUUGUGACUGCAGGUGAUAGAUUUCCAUCAAACAUUGGAAGUGAACGGUAUUCGAUUCUGGUGUUAUACUGCAGGACAUGUGCUUGGUGCUGCUAUGUUCAUGGUUGACAUCGCUGGUGUCCGAGUUCUUUAUACUGGAGAUUAUUCGCGCGAGGAAGAUCGGCAUCUCCGAGCUGCUGAGACCCCACAGUUUUCCCCCGAUGUUUGUAUUAUAGAGUCCACCUAUGGUAUACAGCACCAUCAGCCUCGGCACACUCGGGAAAAACGCUUCACUGAUGUUAUUCACUCCACCAUUUCUCAGGGGGGUCGUGUGUUGAUUCCAGUAUUUGCCCUUGGUCGUGCACAGGAGCUCCUCCUGAUCCUUGAUGAGUAUUGGGAAAAUCAUCCAGAGCUUCAGAAUAUACCCAUCUAUUAUGCUUCUCCUCUUGCAAAAAAAUGUUUGACCGUGUAUGAAACAUAUACCCUUUCCAUGAAUGACAGGAUCAAGAAUGCUAAGUCGAAUCCCUUUUCCUUCAAGCACGUGUCAGCUUUGAGUAGCAUUGAUGUUUUCAAAGAUGUGGGACCGUCUGUUGUGAUGGCAAGUCCUGGUGGGCUUCAGAGUGGUUUGUCACGACAACUAUUUGAAAUGUGGUGCUCUGAUAAGAAAAAUGCUUGUGUUUUACCAGGGUAUGUUGUUGAAGGGACAUUGGCAAAAACCAUCAUCAAUGAACCCAAGGAGGUUACUCUCAUGAAUGGACUCACUGCACCGCUUAACAUGCAGGUGCACUACAUUUCCUUUUCUGCUCACGCUGACUCUGCUCAAACAAGUGCUUUCUUAGAAGAGCUCAAUCCCCCUAAUAUAAUUCUUGUUCAUGGGGAAGCUAAUGAGAUGGGCAGGCUCAAACAGAAGCUUAUGAGUCAAUUUGCUGAUCGCAACACCAAAAUUCUUACUCCGAAAAACUGUCAAUCUGUUGAAAUGUAUUUCAAUUCCCAGAAAAUGGCAAAAACCAUAGGGAAGCUGGCUGAGAAAACACCGGAAGUUGGCGAAACUGUCAGUGGUUUACUGGUAAAAAAAGGCUUCACAUACCAGAUAAUGGCACCUGAUGAUCUCCAUGUCUUUUCACAACUAUCAACAGCAAGCAUCACUCAGAGAAUUACCAUUCCUUAUUCUUGUGCCUUUAAUGUCAUUCGGCAUAGACUAAAACAGAUAUAUGAGAGUGUUGAGCAGUCAGUGGAUGAGGAAUCUGGAGUUCCUACAUUGCAAGUCCAUGACUGCGUUACUGUGAAGCAAGAAUCUGAAAAGCAUAUCUCCUUGCAUUGGGCAGCUGACCCCAUUGGGGACAUGGUAUCAGAUUCAAUUGUUGCUCUGAUUUUAAAUAUCAGCCGUGAUGUCCCAAAAAUAAUGGAUGAAGCUGAUGCCGUUAAAAUUGAGGAAGAGAGUGAGAAGAAGGCAGAGAAGGUUAUGCAUGCCCUCCUCGUUUCACUCUUUGGAGAUGUGAAGAAAAGUGAAAAUGGUAAAUUGAUAAUCAGCAUUGAUGGGAAUGUAGCAGAGCUCAACAAAGAAAGUGGGGAAGUUGAGAGUGAAAAUGAAGGUCUCAAGGAAAGAGUAAAGACAGCAUUCCGCCGUAUUCAGAGUUCUGUGAAGCCAAUUCCUCUUCCUGCACCAUAGUCUAUUCCUUUUCUUGCAUUGUCUUGGGAAGGUUCAAUGCCACCAAACACUUGCUCACAUGAGACAGUUAUCAUAACAUGUAGUUACUGUAUCUUUAGAAUGACGAGCUUGGACACAACAUUCUCUGCCCCAUUUUUGUUAUUCAUCGAACAUUUAAUCAUUUAGUCUUCAAAUGUUUUAUUAAUGUGUCUUUAAUUUUUCUGUCUGUCAUUUUCUAGCUGAUAGCGAUGGUGCGCAUGAUUGAAUACUGAUCUCCUUGUUUCUAAAGCAUACUGAUUUUCUUUUAAUUCAUGAAUGAUUGAAUUUUGCUUACCAUGGAUCUUGUGCUGGGAAAUACAGUGUUGGACUGUUAGGUUUGAUGUUCUAUUUACCUAAAAACUAGUAGUGUGUCUCAGAUGAUUAAGGGUUCAUGAUUAUCACCAAAUAACUUUCGAUGUUCGGAAUCUUAAUAAAUUAAAAGAAUGUAAAUGAUUUAGUAUGCCUAUUUCAGGAAUGCUCUUUUAAUUUUUUAACAGAAGAAUCUUUGAAGUAUUAUUUUAUUUUAAUCUAAUAAUGUUGGUGCUAAGUGUAUCUGGGAUCAAAGUACGUGCAAUUUGAAUUUAUCACGAUUUGUUUCCCCAUGAGAUACCGACAUAAAAAUGGAGAUUAACCAAUCUGUUUUCCCCUCGCGAAAUGAUGAUGUUAAAGAGAAUAUUAAAAGUUAAAACACUUUAAAUUUAUAAGAAAUCUUUUAUUGAAAAAUAUAAUAUUUAAAUCUAAUGAUUUUGAAUAAAAAAUAUUAUUUACCAGUUUCUUAAUUGAUAUCUAAAGAUACUCAUUGGUAGGAUUCUUUAGAAUGGCAGUAUAAAUAUCAUCUUAGACACUUCAUCUUUUUCGCAAAAUAAUUUUACAUUUUGUUUAAAUCUUAAAAAAAAUGAAGCUUUUUUUGUCUAUAAUUUAGUAAUAAAAUUGUAAUAGUGACAAAUUAAUGUUAAAAAAGGAAUUUAAAUAGUUAUAAUUGACAGCUAACCAUAAAAAUAAAAUAAAAAAUACUAGUUUUCUCUUAAAUUUAUUAAAUAAUCUGAAUUAUAUUAAAAAACACGUCCUCUUUUGAUCAGAAUGCAUAAAAUAUUGUCAUUCUAUUGAUUUCCUCAUUAAUAUUAAACAAAAGUUAAAGAUGCUAAUUUUCUUGAAACAAAUGAAAGACAAAAAAACACUUAAUAAAAUAGCAUAUUUCCAUUUUAUAGUUUAUUUAAAUAAUUACUUGAAAUAUUUGUUAAUUUUCAAUUGCAACAGCUAAUAACAAGAUGGAGAGAGCAGUAAUAGAAUAUUGGAUUUUAAAGGUUAUAGCAGUAAUGGAGUAUUAAGUUUGAUGAAUAACAAGUAAAUGUAUUAAUUCCCAAGUUCAAAAGUAUCAAAAGCGAUGAGAUGAAUAAUAAGAUAAGAAAACAUAAAAUAUGGGGCUCAUAAACUAGUAUAUGGAUAUUUAAAGGAAUUUGAAACUAGCCUAUACUCUUGAAAAAAAUUUAGCAGUAACAUCUAAGAUGUCACAUGACAUUAGACUGCAGUUUUCUUGUUCCUGAAAUUCUCCUUCAUCAUUGCAAAUUUUUUCUUACACUGAUUCACAGUCUUCCCAGGUACAGCUGCUGCAACUCUCUCCCACCUCUGGCUUGUUUCCUUUGGAAAGGCUUUUAGAGCUUGAACCAGUGCUCGUUCAUGCACUGCAGACCACACAUCCUGUUCUGAACUGGAAGAAACUCCAUUAGCAGAUGCAGAGUUCUGAUUAUCUGUAUUCUUGCUGUGAGAAUCUUCUGUGUUAUUGGUUGAGGCAGGAGUUGGAGUUGGAGUUGAUACCCCUUCUAAUUCUUCUCUGGUUGUCAGUGGAGACUCAAUUGAUUGUGCACCAGGUUUCCUUUUCUCAAGAAAAGUGUCAAAAGCUUUUGAUGAAUCAGGUUUCUGGAGGAGUACAGUUUUAGUUGCCUUCAUUAUUUCUUCAACAGAUCUUCCAGUACCAAUGUAUUCUGAAAUAACCUCCCAUCUCCUUGAAGUUCCUUUGGGGUAUUUCUGCAUUCCUUUCCUCAGUAGAUCAAUCUCUUCUUUACUCCAAGGUUUCUCCUCCUUCUUCUCAACAUUGCUUCUCGAAGCACUGCCAUUAGCCUUGAUGGAACCAUUGGAAUUUUGUUGAUUGGUUUUCUCAUCAGCCUUGAUGGUUUUCUCAUCUUUCUUAGAGCUCAGAGCGUCUCUCAAAACACUUGCUUGCUCUAAUAAAACCUGCCUGCCUUCCAUGUUCUCACAUAGACUCCUCAUCUGCUCAAUAUCAAGUGACAUGCAAAGCCUUUCUACAUCAUCAUCAGAAAUAUCAAGCAAACGUUGGGACAGAAUAGGUCCUGAAAGAGUCCGGAGGCGAGCUCGCUCCUUUCGCAACAGCUUUUUCUCUUUCUCUUUGACCUUCUUCUGUUGUAAGGCAGCUUCUGCAGCUUGUCUCUCUUCCUCCUCUUUUCUCUGCUUCUCCUCCUCUGCAAUUCUGGCUGCUUCUUCUUCCUGCAAUUUCUUUGCCAGGAACUUAGCCUCCUUUUUCCUUUGUUUCUGAGCUUUUUCUUCUUCCUUUCUUCUAGAUAUUCUGGGGUCCCUCUUGUAAGCAUUAUCAACAAGAGUACGAAUCCGUGCAUAGUCCUCCUUCCUAGCUUUUUCUGUCAAUUUUGCAUUCUGCCUUUCCAUCCACCUCUUGUGGUCUCGAGAUUCAGCUUGCUCGAGAUCAAACUCAUCAGCAUGUGGAAACUCCCUCCAACUUUUAAAGGAGUACCAAAAAUUGUAGAAAUUAUCAACUUCUUUUAAUGGAGUAUUAUCAUCACCUAGUGUAGGAAUUGGUUGAUUAACCGACCAUCGUCCGUUCCUCAUAAAAGCAGGACCAAACACCUUAAAGAAAUCUUGUGGAGCACAAUCAGUGGGAAUCUCGUCAUCAAACUCAUCAGUGGAAUCAUAAAUCCUUCUCUUCACAGAAUCAGUCAGCACUUCAUAUGCUUCCUGGAUUGCCUUGAAGUGACUUUCUAUUUCAUCCUUCUUUGCUUGUUUCGCAGCUUCAGUUUCCUCAGCCAAAAGAAGGGCAGCCUGCUUGUCAGGAUGAAACCUCAAGGCAGUUUCACGAUAGCUUUUACGGAUUUGAUCCUCAGUAGCCAGAUACCUUAGAUGACCCAGACCCAAUAAUGCAUAGUGAUCUUGUUGCUUGUCCCCAGUACCAGAUUUCUUUUUGCUUUUGCUGCUAUAAGAAUCAGAUGGAAGGUACGUUUGUUCCUUAUCAUCAACCACCUUUUUGUCAUCAGCCUCAUUCUUCUCUUCCUGAACACCACGAAGUUUAAGUGCAGCAGAAUGGAAAGAAUGACCUGCAGGUUCAUAUUUCAAAGCCUUCGUCGGAAGACAGUUUGAAGAGACAAAAAUAGGUUGUCCAUCUACAAUCUCUUGUGAGUAAGUAAUAAGACGGAAUUUUGUAUGUACAGCCAUAAUGGUGGCCUUUCAGAACAAAGAAAUAUGUCUCCCCUCAAAUUUAACACCGCAACCUGCAUUCAAAUAAAAACUCAGUUAGACAAUUCCCAGUCCCUUGACUUCAAUUAAACAAACAUCUAAAUCAUUAUUUUAAUAGAAUGAGAUAUUUUCUUUAAGAGAAAGUGGACUACAACUGCGAAGUGAAGGGAAAAAAAGGCCAAUAAUGCAACAAGGAUGCCCAAUCUCAAAGCAUAUUAGAUACAGCAACUCUCUUGAUGCAGCAAUGAACGGAUUAAUAGAACACCAAAGAUGAGCACUCUGUUAAAAACUUUUAGCUAAUACACCACAGAAUUUAAAACAAGCCAAAAACUGUUUCAGAGUAGACCUAAACAACUAUUGCUCCUCCAAGCAGCAUUAUCUAAGAAGUAAGGCCAAAAUUCAGCCAUAUAAACAUGUCAUUGCAGCCUAUGCAAUUUGGCAUCACCAGUUAACAACAUUGCCAACAGAAGGCAAUCGAAAUAUUUUAUAAUGGGAAAGUAGCCAUCUUACAGUGAAAAAAGAACAAAAACACAACACACUGAGCUUUGUUUUCAUGAAGGUGGUAGAAGUGAGACAUACAACACUGAACAGAAAAGAAGUAGCUUAUUGGCAAGUUUGCACUGUACAAAGAUGAAAAAGGCAACCACUGGCCUCUCAGAAAGAGGCAUAUUUUUUAAAAAUAAUGUUUUUCCAAACUAAGACGAGAAAGGGUUACAGAUACAUUAAAUAGGUAUUCAGUUACUGCACCUGGGCUUAAAAUACACGCAUUGAAAUACAAUUAACUAGAUAUCAAAGAACUAAAAACAUGGGUAAUUAGAGGGAAAGUACUGUGUAUGACCUCCGAAAGUAAAUAUCGAUUCAGCUUCACAUUAACUGCAAACAUACCAAAAUUCAUUAAACUCUCAAACCUAAGGCAAAAAACAGUUUAGACAAACAUAGUUCCGCCAAUUCUUCCCACUUCCCUCCCUAACUUCAUCAAACGAAUAAAAUAAAAUAAAAUCACCCCAUUCAAUGAAGACAAAAGGUAAAGGAAAUAACACAUCCAAAACAUCUUUAGUUAAGUAAAAAACAGCCUAAAGCUACCAUUAUGUUAACAUAAAAUUCAUAUUGUAACAGUGGUCCUGCAGAAGAGCCUUUUUCUCAAAGCAUGAGAACGAAAAUCCGAAAAACAUGAAAAAAUGAGGACAAGAAACAUUGAAAAGGCAUAAUAAUUUUUUUCUACUGAAGAUUGUAAUUAACUGAGUGCAUGUUGGGUUCCACAUCUGGGAUCGACAAUUAGGGUAAAAUCACGUCGAAGACAAUGCAAAAGCAACAUGCUCCCAGAUACACAGUAACAAGAUUUGUGGAUUUCCUUUAAGUAGUAUCCAACACCAAAACUAAAAAAACUUCAACAAAGAAACCGCAGAAGAUGAAAGAACAAUUAUAAACGAAUAAACGAAAAGUACACAAAUUCAAUCAACCAUGAAGAAAAGAAAAAAAAUAACCCAGUUAAACAAACCGAAAGGGCUGAAGCUAAACUGAAAAGGGUUUCAGAUAUAUGCAGAGAAAGGUUACAGCUGUACCCAGAAACCGAGAAAAGUGUAGGUGAUGCAGGAGGAGAAGUGGAAGGAAAACAGAUCGUGAUUGGCAUGUGGGGUGUGUGAUGCAGAAAGUGAUGAGAUGGGAAAACGAAGAGGAAGAAGAAAGAUGAAAGCUUUACCAAGAAAAAAGGAGGGAGGAAUCACGGAAUGAAGGGAAGAAGAAGCCGACUCUGAAGAGCACAACACAAGAGAAGGAAAGCUUUGGUUUUGGUUUGGGCAUUUUAUAUGUGGCAACACCCACUGCCCUAUCUCUCUCUCUCUCUUUCCAAAAAUAAAUCAACAUUAUAUUAAGAACCCUAACAAAAUAUUUCUUCAUCUCAAUUUCCUUAUUUUGCAUAGAAUAAAAUAAUAUAAAUUUAAAUUAAUUGGUUAUUAUUUUUAAAAUAGAUUUGAAAUUUUGAUGUAAUAUCUAUCAUAUCAUUUUAAAUAUAAUUUGUUAUAAAUCAUAACAAAUUUAUCGCGUAUGUGAACAGAUAAUAUUUACAUUAACUUCUCUUUAAAUUUUAAAGCAAAAAUAAAUAAAAAAUGUUGAGAAUGCUAUAUUUUGUGAAAAAACUAGGUUAAGAAAAAUAUUUCAAGUGUGUGAAUUUUACCUGAAUUGAAAAAAGUCCUUAAGAUGGAUCUUUGUUCCUCAAAUUGGACCCAAUUAUCAUGAGAAUACUUAUGAUUAUGAUUGAUGAAAAUAAUUUUCUUACUCAACACCAUAUACAUAAGUAUAUUUAGGUCUCGUGCAAGUGUAAAAUAAAAUAAAAUAAGAUAAAAUAAGAUAAGAUAAAAUAAAAUAAAAUAUUUGUUUCUUCGACGAUAAUUUUCUUCUCUUCUACAUUUCUUGUUUCUUGCAAUACAUGCCAAAAACGUUUUGAACUUUUACCUCCAAUAACAAAAACUAAGACAAAUGUGGGGAAAGUAAAAGAUUUCUUUCACACCUUUGAAAACAUAUACUUAUACCACAUUAUAAUAAAUAAUAAUAUUUAAAAAUAAAAAAUAAAUUAUCUAGUAAAAUAAUAUAAAAAUACAAAUAGAAUUCAAAUUUUAAAAAGUAAAAUAAUAUAAAUACAAUUGAACACAGUUUAUAUCUAUUUGGUUUAGUACAUAAUUUUUUUUAAUAAUCUUAACGUUAUCAAAGUUUUAUUAUCUAGUUCAAUAGGAACUUAAUCACCACCUUAAGGCUCAAAUCCUAUCCAAAACCAAAACAAAAUGGUGUUUAAGUUAUGAAUGCAUGAAAGAAAUUUGAAAACCUUGCAUGUUUUCUCCAUAUUUUCAAAUGAUAAGAAGAGAUUAAAAUUGUAAUUUCAGGUCUUAUAUGAGGUGAGAAAGAAGACAUGGAGGUACAGAAAGAAAUUCCCUAUAAGGCAUUGGUUAAAGCCUCACAAAAUAGCCCAAUAAAUUUGAGGUCCACAAUCAAAUUAUUUUCACUCACUAAUAUAACUAUUCUUGUCCUUUUACAUUUAUACAUCCACCUGUUCAGAUCAAUCCACAUAAAUUCUGAACAUAACUUUAAAUAAAUUAAAGUUAAAUAUACUUUAAAUUUAAUUAUCAACUGCACAUUAUUUCCAUACUAUUUUUAAUAUACAAAAACACAAGUGGUUACAAUAGAAAAUAACACAUCUGAAAUUUAUGAAGAAGUUAUAACUUAUCUUAAAUAUAUAUAAAUAUGAUGUCCCUUUCAAUGCAUGUUGAUAUGUUGAUGAAUAUAUAUAGCAUAUGGUUUAGGUAAAGAGAGAGAGAGAAAGAAUGAGCAUGCAUUUCCAUUACUAGAAAUAGUGUUAUAUGGUGAGUUUGGUGAAGACUUAGAAGCACUGAAUAAUGGCUACCAUUUUCAUCUUCAUCUUCUUCUUCUUCCUCGUACCCUCUUGUAACCACCUCAAACCUUCUUUUUUUGUUUCUAAUUUUUCAUUUCUAUUGUCACCAUUCAUAUCUCUUUCACUGGGAAUGCAGAUGGAUUCGACUCGUUGGAUCCUCUUGGCAACAUCACCAUCACAUGGGAUUAUUUCUCCGACAACGGGAAUUCAGUCGACGUAACCAUUUCUACUUUUUAUUUUUCUAACUUACGUAUUCUGUUCUGAUUUACCCUUUUUAUGGGCUCUUCAUCAUCGCCGUCUAAGAAGAUAUCAAAGUGACUUAGUCAGAAUGUCUGCGGGUUUUCGAUGUUCUUAAGGAAACAGUGAGAUGCGUACGCUUUGUUUGUUUGUUUUUUAGGGUUAUGUUCGGUCUCUUGUAUACUUCCAAUCACUUCAUGCCACGUCAGCUAAACAUAGUGCAUUUCUUUGGCAAUAUAUGAGGCCAUUCUAGUAGUUCACUCUGUCUCAAUAGUCUCGUCUACGUGGGUUGCUGUUCAAGUGUAUGUAACAGUUUCUAGAUUAAUCAAGAUUAAGAUAUAUAAGUGUUUAUAAAUCUCACUUAUAAGCUAGUUUUAUAAAAUUGAUUAUCAGAGUAAUUCCAAACUUAAUCUAAUUAUUUGUUGGAUUUAUCAGUCUACCCAACACGAAUUGGUAAACUCGAUGUGCAGAUGUGUUGAAGAUUCACGUUAACUAGAGAUUAUGACUUAUAAAUACAUGCAAAUCUCACUUUAUAAACUGAAUUAAGCUUAAAGUUAACCUAUAGUUUCGUAUAAAUACUGAACUGCAAUAGCAUGCAUGGUAACAAGUGCGAUUUAUGGUGUGUUUGGUUUACUUGGUAGGUGAGGGUAUCACUGAACAACUUGCAGCUAUUUCGUCACGUGGAGGAACCCGGUUGGAAUUUGGGUUGGGCAUGGAAAGGUGAUGAGGUGAUUUGGGCUAUGUUGGGAGCAGAGGCAAAGGAGCAAGGGAAUUGCACAAGAUUUAGAGGACAACAGAAACCACACUGUUGCCAGAAGGAGCCUGUUAUCAUUGAUCUCAUGCCUGGAACCCCCUACAACAUGCAGACUGCAAAUUGCUGCAAAGGUGGGGUCCUAACAUCCCUAAAACAAGAUCAUUCCAAAGGUGGCGCCACCUUCCAGAUGAAUUAUAUCAAAGCUUCAGUCUCCGAUUCAGGUGGCAGUUUUAGCAUGCCUGAGAAUUUCACCCUUGGAGUUCCUGGCUAUAGCUGUGGGACACCCUUUCAAGUCCCCCCAACCAAGUUUACCAAAGAUGGACACAGAUGGCAACAAGUCUUGGGUCAGUACUGCUUCUUAAUAUCUCUUUUAUGCCUCACAAAGUUACCUCAGAAUCGUUAAUAACUCUACUUAUGUAUAUGAUAACAUGGUCAAAAUUAUUCUAUACACAUCAAUCUUUUCUGCUCUUGUUUUAUCUCACGUGAGUUAUUUUGUUGGAAUUAUGUGGGUUAUAUAUGCAUUCUUCUGUCUGAUAAGUUGUUUCGACAUGCUCUUUGUUCAUGUAUAUUUCAACAGCUUGGUGUGGUUCAUAUUGUAUUUUUUUUGUGGAUUACUUGCAGAGACUUGGAAUGUGACUUGUAUUUACUCCCAGUUUCUAGCAUCACCUACUCCAACAUGUUGUGUCUCUUUGUCUGCAUUCUACAACAGUACCAUUGUUCCUUGUCCCACAUGCAGUUGUAAUUGCCAAGGACUACCAGGAGCUACUAAUUGCGUCGAGUAAUUCUUCUCAUCUUCACUUAAUUUAUGCUUCAAAGCUUCUUUCAUAGAAUAACCAAUAAUCUAUUUGCAGUUCUGAUAAGACUUCAGUGUUGCAAGUACCACAAACAAAUCGCGGAGAAGCAUCAGCGGCAGUGAUCAGGUGUUCACAUCACAUGUGCCCCAUUAGCAUUCACUGGCAUGUGAAGCAAAGUUAUAAAGAGCAUUGGCGGGUCAAGAUCACAAUCACAAACAUGAACUUUGUCAAAAACUAUUCCCAGUGGAAUUUGGUGGCGGUUCACCCUAACUUCCGAAGCGUAACCCAAGUCUUCAGUUUCAACUUCCAAACCCUAUCAGUUUAUGCAAAUUUCAGUAAGUUACUGCAUUAUUGUCACCAUUAAUAAUACUGUAAGAGUAUCACACCUCAAUCUAAGAACCACAGUCACAUAAAAACACUUUGUUUGAACUAUGAGACUCAGAUACUCCUCUUAAAUAACAUGUCUAUGUCGGAUGCCUGUAUCGGUGGUGAAGUUUCAAAUGCAAAAAAUAUUUAUUAGAUUUAUGACGAAUGAGUGUUUUGAUGGUGUAUGGAUUUCAGGUGACAUAGGGAUGUUUUGGGGGCUACCAUACUACAAUGACAGGUUGCUGACACAUGGAGAGAAUGGGCAUGUGCAAACAGAGGUGUUACUACACAAAGAUCGAGGAGAGUUCAGGUUCAACGAAGGAUGGAGUUUUCCUAGAAAAAUUUCAUUCAAUGGCGAUGAGUGUGUGAUGCCAUCUCCUGAUGCAUACCCUACACUCCCCAACACAGCUCAUAUUUCCACAACAACCCUUCCCACAAUUUUCCUUUCACUGUUACUGCUCUCAAUUUGUUCUACAUCUUUAGAAUGAAGAAUUCUAGUUUAGUAUUUCAUAGUUUAGCGUCACACUGUAUUUCUAGUUAUUUCGUGUAGUCAAAACCUCAAUAAUAACAAAUCAACUGUGUUAUAACCUUUAAAAUUGGUCAAAACACCAUUAAAAAAAAUUAUUAGAAAAAAAAUAAUUUUAAAAACUAAAAUAUUUAAAUAUUCACUAAAUUAGAUUAGAAACUAUUUUAUAAAUUAAAUUAAAAAAUUAUUAGUAUAUAAAGUAUUUUCUCUCAUUAAUACAAAAUUAUAAAAUAAUUUUUAAUUUAAUAUUUAUUCAUUAGGUAUCAAGAUUUUAGUUACUUAACAUUUUAUAUUUUAAAUUAUUAAUAUUUAUUAAUCUUUUAGAUACUAAUUUAAAAUCUAAAAUAUUAAUAAUUAAAACUCAAAUAAGUAAUUUAGAUAUCAAUUUAAAAAUUAUUUUAUAGAUUUUUAUUAAUGAUAAAAAUCAGUUUAGAUAUUAAUAAUUUUCUAUUCUCUAAAUUAAUAUCUAAUUUAGUAAAUAUAAAAACUAAUUAAAUUUAUCAAUAAAUUUAAUUGUUAUUUAAUAAUUUUUUUAUAAUAUAUAAAAGCAAUUACAACUAUGGCACUAUAAUAAUAAAACUUUGCACUCAUUAACCUUGCGAAUUGAAUGAACGAUCGUUUUAUUCCAAUUUCAAGUUUGACUUCUUAACCCUAAUUGGAUACGUUGUAGUAUUUAAUAAAUCAUUAACUAUUAUUUUUAAAUUUUAAGAUAAUAUUGAUUAUUUUUUUAUCAUUUAUAUUGUUUUUCCUCAUUAGACGCUUACUUAGUUUAUAUAUGUAUUUGUUAUAAUAUGAAAACUAAAAAGGAUAAAACAGAAAUUCUUAUAAACAUUUUAUUAAAAUAAAAAUUGAUUACGUUUCUCCAAAAAAAACCUACAAUACUUAAAACAAGACAAAUGAACACAACAUAAUGUGAUCAAAAAUCACAUUAUCCGUUUCUAUUAAUAUCAAUUAUACAUUUAUUUAUUUAAGUCUCUAUUCUAUUUAUACAUUUAUUUAUUAUUUUUCUAUCAAUUUCUCUAUCUUCUUUUAUAUUCUUUUUUUUAUGAUUUUUUUUUCAUCUCACCGCACACUACAAGAGAAAAUUUUAGGUUAAUUUUUCCAUCUCUUUUCAUUUGUCUUUUAAAAUUAUUUUGCAAAAAAAAUAAAUAAGUUUUCUUAUUUUAUCACUUUCUUUCUCCACCUCUAUUAAAAAACACAGAGUUUAAUAGUUUAGAAAUAAUAGUUUAAUAGAGUUUAUUUUCUUCUUAGAUAUAAAAGUUACUUGAUUUUAUUUAUUUGUUUAUGAUUUUUUAAAAUGAUAAUAUUUCUUUACUUUUUGCAUAUUUUUUAAUUAACAACAACAUUUUUAUUGUUUUUCAUCUCUUUUUCUUUUCUUCUCUUUUUAUCACACUUUAUUUUAUUAUUUUCAUCCAACCAAACAUAAUAAUAAAGAUAUAGUGCCGAUUAAAUAAAUAAAUAAUAAUUUAUACCUCUAAGGGAAUUUUCUACUUUUCUAAAUUAUUUCCUUAUUUUAUCUUUAUUUUAUAUUUUUUUUAUUAAUUUAUUUUGAUUAUUCAGACAUUUUAUAAUUUUAUAAAUUAAUAAAAUAGUUUUUUAAUUUUAAAAUUUUAUGUUAUUUAUUCUCAUUUAACUAUUUGGAGAGAUUGAUAUACGUUAAUUUUAUUUAUUGUCACCUGACAGGAGGAGAGUGGAGAGAUUAAUUACUUUCCUGUUUUAAACUUAUAUUCUUCUUUAUUAAAUAAACAAUUUUAAAAUUUUAUUUGUUCCCACUUAACUGUUAAGGAAGUGGAGAGAUUGACAGGUUAAUUAAUUUUAUUUGUGAUCACUUAACUAACAGAAUGGUGUAGAGAUUGAUUAUCAGAAGUAGCGUUGAAUGUAGAACAAUUUUUUUAUUUUCUCUCUCUUAUUUUAUCUCUCUCCUUCCAAAUCUUUUGAAACCCAAUAACAUAUUUCUCAUACAUACAAAUACACAUGAAUUUAUAUUUAAAUAUAUAUAUAAUAAAAAAAACUAAAAAAUACGAAUGAACAGACGAAAAGAUCAAGCAUCGCCUAAUAAUAAUAAUAAUAAAGAUAUAGUGUAAUAAAUAAAAGCGUAAUUAAUAUUAUUUGAACUAUCUGAAUGAGAAAUAAAUAAAAACAAAAUAGUCAAAAGAAACAACACUUAAAAAGGAAGAAAUAACUCUUUACUAUUAUAAAUCAUAAAUGCCAAUUAAACUUUCAACUCUGACUUUUUAGUGAGAUUGGUUAAUGUGAUAUAAUUAUUAAUUACAGAAGUUAUGGCAACACAUGAGAACAAAAUAUAAUUUAAUUAAAAUAGUUGUUACAUUAAAUAUCAAUUAAUGAUCAUAUAUAUAUUAAUAAGAAAAUAUAUAAGUAUAUUUUUAUUAGAAAAUGAUAUAUAAGAUUUUUUUUUCUAAAAUUUUCUUUAUUAAAGAUAUAUAGGAACUAUUUUUUUUCUAUACCCAUCAAUUUUAAGGAGUCUCACUUCUAAAUUUUGUUAAUUUAUCCUUAAGUUCAAGUUAAUAGCACUCUUAUUCCAAGAUUCUCCCUUAUAUUGAUUAAAAUUUACUGAAAAUUAACAAUUCUAAUGGGUAUAGCUACUAAAUAAAAAAUAUUUAUUAAAUGAGAAGUGAAACCUUCCAAAAUUAAUUAAUAAAAAUAACAUUAGAAAAAGAGGAGUCAACGAAAGUGUAUGUAUACCAAUAUAUUUCAAUAUCAGAUAUUUAUAUGAAAUUGCUUUAGGGUUUCAAAAAACUACUAAAAAAGUUAAUUUAUGCAAAUAUAAAAGCUAAUUAGCUUUAUUAAUUUCAUUUAAAAACAAAUAUCCAUCCUUCAAUUAUUUUUCAUUAUAAUUUGAUAUAAAAAAUAUUAAAAUUAAUAUUUUAAUUUCAUAAAACAUAUUUUUGGGGAUAAUAUAUCAUUAAAUAAGAUAAUAUAAUUAAUAUUUUUUGUAUUUUAAACUAAAAUACAUUAUUUUUAUUAUUAUUUAUAUUCAAGACCGAAUGAAAUAUUACAUUUUUUCAAAUCAAUUGUACAUAAAAAAAUAAGUAAUUUUAAUAGUUGAAGAUAAUAGUAUAUUCAUAGUAUACUUGUAAUAUUUCUUUUCAGCGUUUAGUUUAUUAUCUAAACUUAAUUGUUUACUUGGUUCAAGUAGAAUUGAGACUAAAUCUCUUAAAAAAUGUUAGAUUCUUAGUAAUAUAAGUGAAACAAAUAUAAUUGAAAAAAUUAAUAAGAUAUGAUAAUUUUCAAUCAUAAUAAAAAUAAUUAUUAGUAAAAUCAGUGAAUAGUACAUGUAUACAACAAGAAAAUCAUUAAAUAUCAAUUAAUUUUAGACUAAUUAAUUAAAUUAAAUAUUAUUUUAUAAAUUAAAAAAUUAUUGAUAUUUAAAUUAAUUUUUAUUAUUAAUAAAAAUGUAUAAUAUACUUUUAAAAUUAAUUAGAUAUCAUGAAUUUAAAAACUAGUUUCUAAACUAUAGUAUAUAAAAUAGUAUUUAUUAUUAAUAAAAUUUAUAAUUUAAUUUUUAAAUUAUGACUAAUUAAUACGAGUUUAGAAAUUAAUUUAUAAAUUUCAUUAAUAAUAAAAAAUACUAUAUAUGAAUAAUUUUUAUAAUUUUUAAAAUAAUAUCUAAUAUAAUUAAUAUUAACUACUUUUUGUCUUUAAAAUUAAUUUUGUUGUGAUAAAAUUCGAUAAAGCUAAAUUAAUAUUUUUAAUAUCAAUAUAAAAAAAAUUAGUAAAAUUCAAUCCUAUGCUUCCGUGUCAAAAUAAAUAAGAUUUUCGAAAUAUAUCUGAUAACAAAACAUAUUGACAAACAGACUAAUUAAUAUCAUAAUUGCUCAUUAAUAUGUAUAACUCAUUCAACUCAUCAUAUAAUAUUUAAUAUUAACUAUUUAAUUAAUUAAAUAACUUUUUUUAAAUAUAUAUUUGUCAUUUAGUCCUAUUUGAAACCGUUUCUCUUUGACUUAAACUCUCAUCUACAACUUCAACGCUAGAAUCCCUCACUUAAAAGAAGGUGAAUAAGCAUGAGAGAUUAAGUUUUUAUUUAUUUUUUUAUUACACAAAAGCAAGUAUUUUUCAAUGUAAAACAAUUCAUUAUACUAAAGUCUUACAAAAAUUGUUUAGAUAAACUACAAGAAAAUCAUGAAAUAGAAACUAAUUUUAUAGAUAAAAAAUAAUUAGUUGUUAUAGUGACUAAAUUAGAUACCAUUUUAAAAACUAAAAAAAUAGUUUUUAAAUAUUUUAUUAUUGUUAAAUAGUUUAUAAAUUGAUAUCUAAUUAGCUAUACCAAUUAUUUAUAUUCUAAAAUUGGUAGCAAAAACUUUGGUUACUAAUUAGAUACUAAUUUAGAAACCAUUUAACAAUAAUAAAAAUUAAUUUAUAAACUAAAAAUAUUUUUAGUCUCUAAUUUAGUCAUUAUAACAACUAAUUAUUUUUGUCUAUAAAAUUGGUUUCUAUUUCAUGAUUUUCUUGUAGUGGGAGUCUUAGAAACAAUUAUCUUCUACUUUUCCUCUCGGUUUUUCAGCUUCUCACUAAUGACUUAGACUUUCUAUGGAUCAGCUAACUUGGAUUAUAUUAUGUGGGCUUGGACUUAUUUUUGGCUAUUAGAUAUGGACUAUCACUCAGCUAUUGGAUCUGGGUCAGCUCUCAGCUUCUAGAUCCAAAGUGAGUGUACCUGUAAGGGGCUCCGAUGGUAAAGUUAUAAUUGGUUUGUUUGAUUAUCAGAUAAAAAAAAACAUUCUACUUACCUAUUACACAAAUCACCUAUUUUAUAUUUUAACUUGAUUGGACUUUUACUUUUCACACAUUAUAGUUACUAAGUAUAUUUCAAGUGUUUUUUGUCUAUUUAUUGAACUUUGAUACAAUGCUAUUUUAUUCUAUUAUUUAUUUAUAUUUUAACUUUCAAUAUUCUGAGAGUCUUACGGCCUUUUGACCUUUCGACCUAGUCAUUACCGUUUACAAAAGUCAAUUACAUACACAUGUACAAUAUAACUUUUUAUUUUAGAAUUAUUAAUUCUUCUUAAGUAGCCUAAUUUAGUUUCUCUUUUUUUUUGUGUUUCCCAAGAAAACUUAUAAAUAUAAAAUGUUAGAGAAGUCCUAACCUACUUCUAGAAGACUUGUUUAAAAAACGAAACACAUUAUAAACUUAUACUACUUACACUAUAAGAAAUCAUUAAAUGAAAACUAAUUUUAAAGACCAACAUAAUUAGUUUUUAUUUGAACAAAUUAGAGACCAUUUUAUAAACUAAAAAAAAAAAUUGGUAGCUAAUUUAGAAAUUAAUUUAGAAUAUAAAGUACGAAGUAGCUAAAAUUUUGGUAGCUAAAUUAUAGAGACUAAUUCUAGUCUCCAAAAAGUCAUGAUGCAAUCCAACUUCAGAGGUAAGAAGUUGCCUAACCGAUAGUGUGCCAUUAAAGCUUUAGAAUUGAGUUGCACUUACACAUACAUAUAUGUGUGAUUAUGUAUAGUUAUAUGUAUAUUGUUUAGGUUGAAUAUAUGUAUGAUUAUGUAUAGUUAUAUGUAUAUUGUUUAGGUCGAAUGAGCAAAAGGUUGAAAGGUCGAUAAUAAGAUGAAAAACUAAACAAAAAUGAAUAAAUAAUUAAAUAAUAAAAUAUUAUAGCAAAAUUCAUUGAAUAGAUCUAAAUAUGUACAAUAUGUUUAAGAAAUAUACACUAAAAGAAAAUCAUGAAAUAAAAACCAAUUUGUAGAAACCAAAAUAAUUAGUUGCAAUAGUAACUAAAUUAGAGACCAUUUUAGAAACUAACAAAAAAAUUGGUUUCUAAAUUAGUUUCUAUUAUUUUCUAUUAUUGUUAAAUAGUCUCUAAAUUAGUAUCUAAUUAGCAACCAAAGUUUUUGCUACCAAAUUUAGAAACUAAAUAAUUGGUAGUUAAAACAUUAGUUGCUAAUUAGAUACCAAUUUAAAAACUAUUUAACAAUAAUAUAAAAUAAUAGAAAGUAAUUUAGAAACCAAUUUUUUGUUUAGUUUCUAAAAUGAUCUCUAUUUUAGUUCCUAUUGUAACUAAUUAUUUUGGUCUCUAAAAAUUGGUUUCUAUUUCAUGAUUUUCUUGUACAAAUAGUAAAAGUCCAAUUGGGUCUAAAGUUCAAUAAGUGAGUACUAUAAACAGGUGAUCAACUCAAGAAGUAAGUAGAGUGAAUUCUAUCUUAUAAUUAACCAAAAUCGAUUAUGACUUUAUCAUCGGAGCUCCUUAUAGGUACACACAUCCGCCUGAGAGCUGACCUUGAGUCUAAAAGUCAAGAGUCCAAGUUGACUAAACCAGAAUCCGUCCAAGUCCAAACUAGUAAACAAUGUAGUUGAAAGUCCAAGCUUGAAUCAAAAGAUCGUGAAGCCAAGAAGUUAAGAGAAGAAGAAAUUCAUUGUUUUUAGGCCUUGUAAGAACAUUAUGAAUUGUUUUAAGCAUGACGAAAUAAACUUAAAAAGUUGUCAGUAGUCAAUCCUAAAAAACGUAGUUGAUAAAAUACGUUGAAGUUCAUUAAAAAAAACAAAGAUCUCAAUUAAACUAUUAAUGAAAAAAAUUAAAUAACCUAAUUAAUGCUUCGCGUUUAAUCCGGAAAAUAAAAUGAUGGUUUGAAGGAUUUGUUUAAAAAACAUGAUCAAAACACAUUAAAAAAUGAUAUAUUGACAACUUUCACCAGUCUACAACCUCAAUUUUUACCUAAAACUUGUAUCCGUUUAUGAAAUAACGAAAAUAACCUUUCUUUAUAUCAUCGAUCACUCGUUGAAUAUUGAAGCAUAGUUGUCAAAAUAUCAUUACUCAAGAUGCACAUGUAACCCUUGUUGAGAUGACGUGUCACAUCCCACCUUCUCUUCUUCUCUAUAAAAGCAUGAACACAUAUCACCAUUCAUACAUCAACCUAUACCUUACCCUUUCAUCUCUUCACACCCCAAAUCCCAAAACACCAUCACCAUGUCAAGCGUCAACACCAGUGCUUACACCACCCAACUCCGAGCCUCUCACUUGGAAGUACAGUUUGGGUACGAGGAGUGUUGCCGCAACCAUGCAGUGGCCGUAGGAGGAGCUUCCUACGAUGGCUGCAACGAGUAUCAGAAAGCAAGGUCGCAGAACUCUUUCCUCUGUGCAUGCUGUGGUUGUCACCGCAACUUUCACCGCAAACGCCCUACUUUGAAAAGAGAGCGCCGAACUGAAGCAGGGAAUGGUCGUGCUCUGGAUAUAGUUCCUGUUUCAGAGACGUUUCGCCCGGAGCGUAGCAACAACCCAGAGCCACUGCAGCUGGUGAGGCCACUGAGGAGGAGGAGGACGAGGUUCUCGCGCGACCAGAAGAAGCAAAUGACGAGGUUUGCUGAGAUAUUGGGGUGGAAACCUCACAAGGGUAACAGGGAGGAUAUUCAACGUUUCUGCACUGACAUGGGAAUAAGCCGGAAGAUCUUCGUGGUGUGGCUGAACAACAAUCGUCACCGUGCAACUCCGAAUGUGAGUGAUCCAUGAAGCAGUUAGAGGUUGAUGGUUGGAUCGGUCUUGGCACUUGGCAUUAAUAAGGAUUUUGUUUCCAUGUAUUGUUCCUAGUAUCAGUGUGUUUGUGUUUGUGUUUGUUCUGUGUUUUUCUUUUCAGUUUAUCUGUGUUUUCAGUGCUUUGACUUUUAGUGAUGUAGUCCAUGUGCCAUGAAUUUCUAAGUGAAUGACUGUUAUGUGUUUCAAAUGCAUUCUUCAUUUUCCUUCACUCUAUCUUCAACCUACCUCAAAAAUACUUCCUUAUUAACCGGAUCUAAAUUUUAUCUUAUAAGCCGAUUUUAUAAAGUUGUUGAGUUAAACUUAAAGUUCACUUCUUAAUAUAUAUCAGAGUCAUCUAAGGUUUAUCUCAAGAAAAUAUAUAUCAAAGUCAUCUAAAGUUUAUCUCAAAAAAAUAUAUAUCAGAGUCAUCUAAGGUUUAUCUCAAGAAGGGUUUGUUGAGCUUACAUUCCUUAUGUCAUCGAUGAAUGAUAAAUAUAUAAUCUUAUUAUACCAUUUUUAUUUUUUUAAUCUUUCUCGCUCUAAAUAGAAGUCAUGUCAAGUUUAUAUUAAAUUCUAAACACAUAUACAUAUUCAUUAAAAGAAAACUACUAAAUUAAAAUGAUUUUUUGUGGAAUCUUUCCUCCUUUCAUAAAAUCAAAGCUCACAAUUUAAUUUUUCUUUUGGAAAAAAAUUGUUUCACAAGCUCAACACUAAAAGAAUUUCAUUUAUAAUAAUAUAAUAUUAUUUUUAAUUAAAAAUAAAAUAAAAAUAACUGAAAAGAAUAAUUAUUGAAUUAUUAAGGGUGUGUAUUUAAUUUUUGGAGAGUCGAGAAUAAUCACUCUUUUGUUUUAUUAAAAACCGUCACCUUAUUGUCAUGACUUAUUAAAUUUUGUUUUGUCGUUUCUUCUUAAAAAAAUUAAAGUCAUAUGCACCAUUUACUUUAACGUGCCGGUAAUAUAAAUAUUAUGCUUGUUAUAUACGUUACUCGAUAACUAAAAUCCAAUACAAUUAAAUAGGAGAAAAAAAAUUAAUGAUUAAUGUGAUAACGGGUAAUUGAAUAUUUUUUUUAUAUAUUUUUCUUCAAGCUUAUUCAUACUCAUCAAUGUGGAAAAACUCACACUUAUAAUCCUAAUAUUAAUAUAUACUACAAUAAAAUCAUUAAAUAGUAACUAAAUUUAGAAGCAAAAAAUAAUAAUUAGUCACUAUAUUAACUAAAUUAAAUACUAAUUUAGAGAAAAAUUAUUCAUAUCUCAAGUGAUUUCUAUUAUCAGUAAAAAUUUAUAAAAUGAUUUAUGUAUUUGUAUCUAAAUUAGCUACCUAAGUUUUAGCGAUUGAUUUUUUAGAUUUUAAUUCAGUCUCUAAAAGAUUAAUAGAGACUAAUUUAGAAUAUAAGUAGUAAAUAGCUAAAAUUUUGGUAGGUAAUGGUUAGAUACCAAUUUAGAAACCAUUUUAUAAAUUUGUAUUAAUAAUGGAAACUAUUAUAGAUACCAAUAGUUUUUUUAGUUUAUAAAAUAGUCUCUAAUUUAAUGAAAUAGUAACUAAUUAUUUUGAUCUCUAUAAUUAGUUUCCAUUUUAUGAUUUUCUUGUAAUAAUAUUAGAUAAUAAAAAAGCGUAACAAUUCAAGAUCAAAAAAUACUAUCCAAAUUGAAAAAUCAAUACAAAUAUAUAGUUUCAUCUUGUCGUACAAUCUCUUAGUCAUGUACAUCUUGUUUCUCUCAAAAAGCAUGUCUAAAAAACAACCAUAUAUUAUCGAAUAUGAAUCUACAUAAUUGAAAUAUUGAAUAUACAUUUUUCAUUUUCUUUCACUCUCUCUUCAAAUGACCUUAAAAUAACAUUCUCUUUAACUUCGUUAUUUGUUUAUUUAAUUUGGAUGAGCACCAUUUCUAUUUUCUUAAUCUUUGUCAUUCUAAAUAGAAGUCAUGCCAAGUUUAUAUUAAGUUUGCAUUUGUAUCUCAUUUGUUUUACAUUGAAUUUGACAUAUUUAUUAUAAGAAAAUCAUUAAAUAUAAACUAAUUUUAAAAAUAAAAAAUAUUUUUUAUUAUAUUAUAAUCUUGUUUAAAAUAAAAUAUUGUAUUAUAAGAAAAUAAUAAUUUUUAUGGAUGCUGAGUGAAUAGAACUAGUGUUAAGGUAUCAUUACCCAAAAAAAAAGAAUGAAAAUGUCAUAAUAAGAUUUUGAUGGUGAUAGAUUGACACAACAAAUAAUAAAAAAUAUGAACUAACAAACCAAUAAAUUAAUAUUUUAAUAUGUUUAAUUUAUUUUUUAAUUUAAAAUAUUAAUAUAUUAUUAUAAUAGGCUGUCGAGUACAUGUGAUUUACUUUUUUGGUGUCAAAGUAAUCUUUUACACAAAAUUGUCCUCUUUUCAUAAAAUGAAUCCCACAAUUUAGUUUUUUUUUUUUGAAAAAAAAUUGCUUCACAUCCUCAACACUAAAAAAAAAAUCAUUUAUAGCAAUAUAAUAUUAUUUUAAAUUAGAAAUAAAUAAAUAUAACAACAAAAAUAAUUUAUUGAGUUAUUAAGUAAUUGUAUUUAUUUUUUGGAGUGUUAGAGAAUCAUCACUCUUUUCUUUUAUUAUAAAUCGUCACCUCAUUAUCCUGACUUAUUAAAUUUUAUUUUGCCGUUUCUUCUUAUAAAAAUAAAGUCAUAUGCACCGGUUUACUUAGCGUGUCGUUUAUCAAAAUAUUAUACCUGUUCUUUACUUUACUCGAUAACUAACAUUCAAUACAAUUAAAUAGGAAAAAAGUAUAACGAUUCAAGAUAUAUUAGAUAAUAAAAAGUAUAAUGAUUCAAGAUCAAGAAAUACUACCCAAAUUGAAAAACAAUAAUAAUAAAUAGUUUCAUUUUCUACUACAAUAAUUUCUUAGUCAUGUACAUUUUCUUAAGAGUGAAGUCCUAAGUUCCUCUCAAAAAAUAUUUUAAAAACAAUCAUAUAUUAUCCAAUAUGAAUUUAUAUAAUUGAAAUAUCAUCCAUGUAAAUUUCAUUAGACUUUAGAUCAUUUAUCGAUAUGUGCGUAUCAUGCCAUAUUAAUAUUCAUUGUAUCCUUCCAAAUUUUUUUUCAUGACCCAUGCUUUUGUGUUUUUUUUUUUUUUUUAAUUUUAGGUUUUUCUUUUCAUGUGACGACACAAUUUAACACUACGAAACACUACGAAACAAUCAUUGUUAAUUUUAGAGACAAGAAACAAUUAGUCAUUGACUAAAUAUUUUAGAAACUACAAAAUUAUUGAUAUUCAAAGUAAUUUCUAUUAUUAAUAAAAAUGUAUAAAUUAUUAUCUAAAUUAGCUACCAAGAGUUUAGUUAGUAAUAUUUUAGAUUUUAAAUUAGUCUAAAAAAUUAUAGAGACUAAUUUAUAAUAUAAAAUAUUUAGUAGCUAAAACAUUAGUAAUUAAUAGUUACAUACCAAUUUAGAAACUAUUUUAUAAAUUUUUAUUAAUAAUAAAAAUUAUUUUAAAUAUCAAUAAUUUUUAAUUUAUAAAGUUAUAUCUAAUUUAGUUAAUAUAAUAAUUAAUUAUUUAAUUUUUAUAAUUAGUUUUUAUGUAAUGAUUUUUUUGUUGUAAUGUUAUGUCUUGUAAUUGAAUAUAGUUUUAUGAAAGUAAAAUUAAGAAAUUAUGUAGCUGUUUUUUAGUUGACGAAGUUUUAAAGAAAUUAUACGGUCAUCCAUUUUAAUAAAUAAAAAUUAAUAUAAUUUGAUAAAGCAUAAUUAUCUAGUACAAAUAUAUUAAAAUUGGUUAAAAAAUUAUGUUUUUUAUACAAUAAUAUAAAUAAUAACUCAAUUAAAUAAUGUGAAUAGUGUAUUUUCUUAAUAUAAUAGUAUAAAUAAUAAUAAUAAUUUAAAUUAAUUAUAUGAAUAUUUAAUUAUAAUUAUUAUGUGCACUAAAAUUAUUAAAUUGGGUAAUAAAUUUAUUUAUACUAACAAUAUACAAAUAAGCUUUUAUAAUAAUAUCAACAAUGAAAUUAAUUGAAAGCUUGCAAAAAAUUAAAUUAAGUUAUAAUCUAAAAUCAAUUCAAUAUCUGUGUUUUUAUUUAUUUUUAAUGAUCAUUAAAACUAUUCUUGUAUAAUUUGAAUUAAUAUUUUUAAAUUUAUGUGUUUUUUUAUGACAUAGACAAUAUAGAGUUCCAAAUUGACAUCGCAAGAUCCAGCGUGGCACCAUGCUAUUGGCUCAGUACACGUAUAUUCCAAUUUUUUUUUUAUUUUGCGAAAUCAUUUUAUUAACCUUCUUAGUUCUAUAAAAUUCAACGUUCAUCACUCAGCAUUCAUAUUUGUUCAUUUCUGAAUUCAGAUCGAAAGGUAGAAGAAAAGGAGAGAGAAUGGACGCCAUUGAUUCCGUCUUCGAUCCCCUCAGAGAAUUCUCCAAGGACAGUGUCAGACUCGUCAAGCGAUGCCACAAACCCGAUCGUAAAGGUGUAACCCUAACCCUAACAUUUCUCCAUCGUUUUCCUUGAUUCCUAAUUUUUUUUUUGUUUUUCUAAAUAAGAUUGAAUCUAUGUUCUGUGGAUCUUGAUUGAUUGGAUGGUUUGGGUGUUUCAGAAUUCUCUAAGGUUGCUGUGCGUACCGCGAUUGGUUUCGUUGUGAUGGGAUUCGUCGGUUUUUUUGUCAAGCUCAUCUUCAUUCCAAUCAACAACAUCAUCGUCGGAUCUGGUUAGGUAAAUUAUAACUUUCUCAGAUUUGUUUUCAUUUAUAGUUUUACCCUGUUAUUCAUUUGUCCUGCUUGGACCUCUGUCUUUUAUAUUGUUUUUGAAGCUUGGAGACUGAUCUGAUUUUUUUGUUACAAUUUAUUUGGUAAAUUUUGAAUUUUUCAUAUUGGGAUUGCUUGUUUGGUUGAGUUGUUAUUCAGAAGCAUUGUUGACCAUGUUGUGCUGGCGUGGUAUAUUGGAACGAUCUGAUAUGAAGGUUUAAUUGAAUCAGGGAUUUAGGGUAGUUAUUUGUAAAAAUAUUCGGUGCUGCUUAUGGUUACAUUUAUAGUGUAAGGCAUAGAAUGAUGAGUUAAUUGAUCGCAUUAUAUGGUGAACUUUUUACUGCAACUAUUUCUAAAUGAACAGAUAUGGCAAUCUGGUGCAGUGAUUUAUUAAAGAACAUUAAUCUGUUAGUGUGCAUAUUUUCAUGUUUUAAUAUAUGGGGAGUUUCUGCACUGUUACAUGUAUGUGAGAUUAUGCAUGAUUAUUUCUCAGUACCCUGUCUUUGCUACCGGUUUCAUUCGGAGCAUGUAAUUGCUAUCUAUGUUUUAGAUGAGAGUGCUUGGUCUGAACAUUGUUGAGGAUUUUAUUUUCUUCUUGGAAUAUGUAUACUCUUUGAAAACCAGCUUCGGUAGAUUGUCUAGUUUUUAUUAUCGAUUUAAUGCUGUUUUUCUUUAUUUUCUCUGUUUUGAGAUGUUGGCUGUUAGUGAAACUGUGUCUUUAGCUAAGUGUGCAAAAUGGAUGAUAAAUAACCCUUGAUUAUUCCGCAGGAUGAGGGGAAUUUUUCAAUUGCCUCAGGAGUCCAAGUUGUCAAACAUGAAGAGGCAGAAAGAGUUCCCACUUUGUUAGGUCAUCAUGAACUUAAUUGUAGUUUUUUUGUACUCUAUUUUUGGUGUACACUUGUAUCUUAUCUUCGGAAGCUUUACAGUUUUAUUUGAAAUAUACAAUUUUAUUCUUCCGUGUUAGACCCUUGACACAUUGUUUUGAUUCAGGAGGAAAAGGAUGAAAAAAGUAGUUGAGAAACUAUUCUUUUGGUUUUGAUUCUUUGAACUUCGCUUUCUUAGUCUUUUUAGAUAUUUUAGAGCAAAAAAUAAGAAAGUCCACACCCAUUGAUGAGGUGGAACUUGUAUAAAUAAGUUGCCAAGAACAAAAUAAAUUUAAAUUAACUCGAACUGUUUAAAUGUUGAUAGGCAAUAACAGUGGUAAUUAUUCUUCACCUCCUUUUCUUAAGGAUCCAUAUUUUUUGUACUUUGACAUACUGCUGAAAGUUACAACAUAGAACCCAAUUAUAUGUAAAAUAAGUUAAAUACUUGAAAUCAAAAGAAAAAAAUAUAAGAAGGUUACAGAACCAGAAGUUUUCUUCAUAAUCUGUGACAUAUAUUUGUUUGAGUAAAAAUCUGGUGUUGUGUGUAAAGAUUUCCCGUUUUAAAGUCGUGCUGGUGAGGUUCACUUACAGGGAAAUUAAGGGGGUGGGUGGCGGAGAUAACCCAAUGGUGUCAGUGCAGCGUCUGUUACGCUCUCAAAUUCACAUUCAAAAAUGGGUUCCCUUAACCCAUUGAAACAACCCAUCCAUAUCUCCUUUACUCCUCUGGGAGAAAAAAUCAGAAAAAUAACAGCUAUAAGAGGCCAAUAAGUAAAUAAUCGUCUUCGUCUGCUCUCUGCGACAACCAUGUGCUAGUUAUCUGCUAUCUGCUACAACCAUGUGUCACUUAUCUGCUAUCUGCUACAACCUUAUGCCAGUUAUCUGCUAUAACCGUAUGCCUGCUAUCUGCUAUAACCCCAAAAUGCUCCAUGGCUUUUUCAAAAACAAUUCUCAUAGCUUAUAUUCAAUCACACCAGCAUAACCUACCCAAAAUUAUUUUUUGGAGUAAUCAGUAAAUCACAUUUGCGCAUUCACUUAAAAUGGUGUGGUUAAAUGAAGACUGAAUGACUCAAGUGUGUUUGCACUCUGAUAUACCGAAGAACAAAAUAUGAACAGUUGGGUCAUCAUUUAACGAUUCAAUUCAAGUGAAUAUGUGAUGUCGCAAGAGUUUUGAAAUCUUAAUUUCCCACUCUUUAACAGGUAGAAUUUGGGUCUGAUUCAUGUCGAUGGACUUCCACCAUUAGUCUGUACCAUUGGAAAAUUUCACUACUAAGGCUUAAACUAGUGUUAUAUAUUCAGAUGUUAAGAUCAAGUAACUUCCCUUUUCUCUGAAACUUUGUUGAAUUCAAUAAAGAAACAAGGUAUUAUUUGUUUUGUAUACUCAAUUAAUCAUUUUGUAUAAAAUAAAGAAACAAGGUGAAGGACACAGACAUGUCAAGUCCAACAGCACCACCACACUACCAAGAAUCCAAAUGGAAGAGAGCCACAUAGAUAGUAAUGAAAUGCUGUACAUAUUAAGUAAAAAAAAACAAUAAAAACACCUUGUUUCAACCAAAUAUUUUUAUACAUCUUUUUAAUUUUCUCAAGUAAGUAAAGAAUGGAAAUAAUUAACAUGCAAAUAUCACUUUUGGCAUGAAUUAAACUAAAAGGAAAAAGGGAAAGAGAAGUUUCAUAAUGAUAUGAUUCCUGUCAUGAGCAUCCCCUUAAAGCUUCGUACGUAACCAUCACGUUUGGCUUGGUACGAAUGUUUGUAGUGCAUGCCCCAUUACCCAAACCUGAAAUCUGAAACCUGAAACAUAUAACAAAAUCCCCAAUUUUUUUAAUUGGGAAAUUGAAUCACUUUUGACCGUUGACUGAAACGAGUUGGAUGACCAACCCGUUCAAAGCGAGUCAACUCAUCUCAAUUUGAGUCAAUCCAAUGUAACAUCAUCCAAAACCUCCCUAAUGGUCAUGGAUAUCUUCCCACUUGGGACACCAACACCGUCUACCUCACCCACACCGUCUACCUCACCACCGUCUACCUCACCCUCUUCUUCUGCUAUACACCGAAUUCGUUUCUGAGUUUGCCAAACACUACCCAUCAUCACCUUCCUCUUUCUCAACCAAUCCAACCCCUUCAAAACGCACGUCCAAACGGGGACCCUCACUCGUUUCACCACACAAUUUUCCAUUCCCAUAACAACUUCAGCAGCUGAAGGACGUUCAUCUUCAUUCUCUGACACACAACGUGAAGCAUAGCGUAACAAGCGAGUGAUUGUUCCAACCAUGUAACCCGGCAGUGCCACUCUGUCGUCACAAAUCUCUUCCAAAAGUUCUUCACCCAUUAACUGAAUCGCCCAUUCCACAACCGAAGCCGGCGUUUUGCACGCAUCAAUGGCCUUUCUGCCACUUAUGAUCUCCAACAACACAACCCCAAAGCUAAAAAUGUCGUUUUUCGUGCUGAGUCUCUCUGGGGUGGUGUAACAGGGGUCCAAGUACCCUAUUGUCCCGGCGGGUUGACUCACCGAGUCAACCCCUCUCACCGCCAGUCCAAAAUCUCCCAACUUCGCAUUCCAACUUGAAUCAAACAAUAUGUUGGUGGGUUUGAUGUCUCUGUGAAUCACCACAGGCUUAGCUUGGUGAAGAAACUGCACCGCACGAGCGAUUUGCAGGGCGAUUUCAACGCGUUUGGGCCAUGUGGGUGGGGUUUCGUUGGAAUGAAGCAGGUCAUGGAGAGAGGCAUUGGGCAUGAACUCCAUCACAAUGAGUUUGUGGCUGUGAUCAUCAUCACCACUGGUGGUUCCUAGAAGAUUAACCACAUGAGGGUUUUCGGGUAGAGAGGAAAGAACUCGGAUUUCGUUUUGGAGUUUGGAGUUAUCGUGAAGAGAUUGAAGGCCCUGUGAUGGCUUCUUUACAGCGACCACUCUGUAGCUGUUGUUCUCUUUGAACUGAACAACGCCUUUGUACACCAUGCCAUGGCUUCCUUUCCCUACCACCCUUCUGGGGUUGAAGUUUUCUGUUGCUUUCACAACCUCUUCAUACUCAAACUCUUCCAUCGUUUCACUGUUUCUUCUUUCAAUGGUGUUUUCUUACAAGGAGUGGAAUAUCUACGACUAAAUGCAGAGAGGAAAAGAAAGAAAUAUUGAACAUGAGAUUGUUAGAAGACAAAAGUAAUGUUUUAAGAACACGAAAAAGGAUCUUCCCAAUAAGAUAAUUUAUUUUGUUUUUAGUAAGAUGAGGCUUUGAGGAGUUAAAACAACACCUUAAUAAUAUAUAACUGUUAAAGUGUAAGGUAUGGUUUAAUCAAUUUUACACUGUACACUUUUUACAGAGUACUUAUUUUAGUGUUUUAGGUCCAUAAACAAACACAAAUAACAAAAAAAUGAAAAACUGAGAUUUGAAGGAAGGAAUGUAAAAUGUACCUAUACAUCAGCAAUUUCACUUACUAUCAAGACCUGUCUUUGUGUUUGUGUUUCAAUAUGAAUAUGAAGAUGCAUUGAUUAGCUUUUUGUAGAACACAGAGGAAUAAAGGUGCUUUGGAGAGGUAAGAGAUAAUUAAAAUUAUGAUGGGAGAAUUAUUGAGAAAAGGAAAAGUUAAAGAAAAAGCUAAGAGUUUGUGGGAAGAAAAGGUAUCCUCUUUGGCAAAGGGACAGGGCUUAUUGGGUCCCCUUUUUCAAUUCUUUGGCUUCUUUAUUUCAACUUUUUUUAACUUUUUUCUCUCCCACUUUGCACAUUAGCUACCAUGUUAUGUUAUGUACUGUGAUUUCUGUUUUUGUCCACACAGUUACUGUUAUUUAUCAUAGGAAAAAGCAGUCAGAAUCCUUAGCUAAUUAUGUAUCCCAAAGACAUACCUUAACUUUUUAUAUCAAUCACUUAUGUAAAAGGAAAGCAAGGCAUCCAAGGAGAGAUUAGGAAUGUGUAAAGCAAAACAGAUUAUGCCAAACUCGUUUAUUUAAGAGCCAUUUAUCAUUUAUUGUGUCAAAUUAUCUUGUCAUGGAGACAUUAAAACACUUAGAUAACAUUCAGAAUUCACUUCUCCUACCCAAAUUUAUACAAUUUUUCUGAUGGAAGGUACUGAACAGAUGAUUUUAAUUAUCUGAUCUGGCAUAUAUAAGGAGAGGUUUCUGACUAUUUUUGGCAUUUCUGUUGUCUACGGAAGUGAUUUGAAGGGAAUAAUACUUUGACAAUAGGUCACCCAACACAACUUUUAAAUCCAACUUUGCUCUUGUUUUUUUUUUCAAAAAAAAUUCAUAGGAGCUUAGUGUCCCUUUUAACUACUGCAGAGGAGCUGGUGUUGGCGUUAUGGUGGAAGAAAUGUUUCACUCUUAGUUGCUGUGCACAUUGUUUUGAGAUAAUACGAAUACAUGAAUUUGGAAGGCAAUGUGAGUAUCUCCGAAUAUAAAAAUCGUGUAAUUUUAUUUUCAGUUUAAAGUUUCGAAUGCACAUGUUUGAAAGUGAAAUAUGAAUUUCGGAUACCUAUAUCCGGAUGAAUAUCCAUAAUGGUUUUUUGGGUUCCGAAUUGUUAUAUUCGGAAGGUUUAUUGGCUGCUGGGUGUUGGAUGCAUUUAAAUGUAACCUAGUCUCAUUUAAGGGUAUUAUAGUAAUUUUACAUGACCAUGGAUGCCAAUCUGAAAUAAUAUGGUGUAGGAGAAUCAGCCUAGGUCAGUUACAGUGUGCAUGACUUAUUGGGCCUGGUCCAAUUUUUCUUUCUGCAAUUUCAGCAAGGAUAAUUACUUUCUGCACCUAAUCAAAUUUGAACCCGCACCUAAUCAAAUAAAGUGACCCACCACAACUCAUUCCCUCCCAAUUAUAAAUUGGUAAAAAAAGAGAGUAAAAAGGUUUCAUUAGGGUCCAUGUAUCUUUUAAGAGGGUUAUCUUAUCUGUGUUACCUUUAUGUUGUUCAACAUUUAAGGACUUUUUGUCUUAGACUCUGAACAUGUUACACGUUUGAUAAGGACCAUUAUCCUCUUUGUCAGGAAGAAACAAAAACUGUAAUUGGGCUAGCAGACUUUGGCCCAAAUUGAUUUGGGCUACAUUCAUAAUGCAUUGAGAACUUUAAUUAAUUAAUUUGGGUAGAAUCCAUAAUUAUUUACAAUUUUAAGUUUUUGGAAUUUGGUAAUGUAGAAGAAGUAUGUGUGUUGGUGAGAGAAGAUAGGAACAAAAUAAAUGAAUGUGAAUGGUAGAGUAGACUUUCAAUACCUACCAUAUAUCAUACUAACUCAAUUAUUGCAAUACUUAAAUAUACUUACUUCUUCACUCCUUAAAAACACCAUAAAUUAAAUUCACCUUCCAAGGACUUGCUCUUUGAAUUGACUCCAAUUUUAAAAACUAAUACAAUUUAAUUAAGAUAAAAUCGUGUUAAAAUAAACUUUUUUAAUGGUAAAGCACUAAAUUUAUCAAUAACAAUUACUAAAAACAAAAAAAUUAGAUCCAUAAAUUCAAAUAUUUCCACCACCUGACCGUGUGAUAACUAGAAGCUAAAUACCUGGUCAGAGUCAACCAACACAACUGAAUUCCUUAUGUCUAAAUAGAAGAUUAACAAGACUAAUCAGUAGUAAACAUUAGGUAGUGGUAAAACAUUAGGUAAUUUCUUAAUUAUGAUCUAAACCUCUAAUCCGGUCCAAUAAUAAAAGAUUAAUGAUAAUUAUAUAAAUAAGUACAAAUUUUAAAAAUAAGAUACAUCAUCAUUCAAUAUAAUAAUAUCGAGUACCGAAUAUCGAAAUCUUACUUUAAUGUUAGAGUGCUUUUUGUAGAUAACAUUCUAACUUAGUGUUCACGAGAACGAUGAGAAGUAAUGGAGAGUAAGAAAAACUCGAAAAUUUUGAAAAAAAAAAGAAAGAGAGGUAAAACAACCAAUUGAAAACAAAAUAGUAAACAUGAUGGUUUGAAUAUUUAAAAUGAUAAAUGAAUUAAAAUUGUUUAGUUAUUGAAUAUUUUGAUUAGUUAAGAAGAUUAUGCAUGAAUUGUUUGUUCCAUGUAAGUGGGAAUAAUAGAGGAGGAGUGGGGUGGCCCACUUCCACACAUGAUAAUUCGUUUGCUUCAAUUCUAUAAUUCGCGAGUGAUUCACACGCUCUAUAUAUUCGCGUCCCCUGCAUUCCAUUGCUAUUCACGAUCACAUCAAAAUAUAAAAUACAAAUAAAAUAAUUAAAUCAGUAGUACUUUGUACACAUAUCUUUUAUUUUUUUAAGGCGUGUUAUAAUUUUAAAUUAAACAUUAUAUAUGUAUAUGGAAUGGGUACUUCAUUCUCUUCUAAUACGUAUUCUUGCAUUUUUAUACUCUUUACGGCAUCUUUUUAUAAACAAAUAAUUGAUGGAAUACAAUGGCACUAACAUUAGUUUCUUAUUAAAAAAAAGUACUUUUUUAUAAAUGAUAAAAUUUAUCUUUUAUUUGCAAAUUUUAAAUUCAAAAUAGUUGAGAGUAAAUAUGUAUUUUUGUAAUUUUAUUUUAUAAUUAAUAAUUGGUAUGAAAAUAUGUGAAGGUUUCAAAUAGAUAUUAUUUAACUAUUUGGAAACAUUUGUUUGAUUUAAUCGGAAGAAAUGAUAAUAUAUUUGUUCUCGAAAAGGGUUGAAACCAAGAGAACUAUUGAUUAUUUUUCGGUUGGUCUAUCUUUUCACUCCACUUUCUCGUGCUCCUUUCGUUUCUCUACUCCUCGUCAUCGUGAACUCCGAGUUUGGAUGGUACCUAUAAAAGACACUCUUAUGCUUAAGUGAGAUUUUGAUGUUUGGUACUCAGUGUUGUUAGUACUGUGUGAUGACGUACCUGAUUCUUAAAAUUUGUACCUAUUUAUAUUAUUAUCAUGAAUUCUUUGUUAUUGAACCAGAUUACGGAUAUGAGUCGUAAUUAAGAAUGUAUUGUCUAAUGUUUGAUCAUUGAUUAAUCUUAAAAAAAGGGAUGAUUUUGAUUGACUUUGAUUAAAUACUGAACUUUCAUCGGAAGAUGUAAAUUGUUAAUAAAACAUAUUUUGUCUUUAAAAAACAUAAGUGAGACAGGUACAUGGAUUAACCUUAAACUUAAAUUGAAUCCAUGAUGAGAAAAGACAAUUGAAGUAUGAGUAGGUCCUAUGCAAAAGUGUAAGCAGCAAAAUCUGAAAUGGGCCUCACCAAAAUCCCUUUUCAGUAUGAAUGGAUAAAUUUGAAAGACAUAGAAAAAUAUGAAAUAUAGAUGCAUUAACCAAGAACACAGCAAGAACAUCAUAGUAACUAAUAAAGAAAUGGCAAAAACAACAGAGAAAGGUGUGCAAAGCUGACGUUGCACAGAACAUACAUUUAUCCCCUCUAUACCAUGUACAGGGAGAAGACUCAAACUAUGAGAACUGAAAAGUUUCUCAAUUUUUGCAGCUUUUAUUUUAUUUUAUUUGACCCUUUGUUUCCUUGGAUCCAUGCACAUUUUCUUCACUUACUAUCUAACUUUGCCUCCCUAUAACUUUGAAAUUCUUUUACUUUCUAAACAAAUAAAUCGAAUCUAAACUAAAAAGAAUGACAUAGAGAAAAAAAUGCAAGAGAAUAUUUUCCCAACAUUCAAAACUUAGUUCAUAAGCUUUGUUUCAUGAAGUUUGGGAGUUGGAGUGCCAUAAAAUGUAUGAGUUAUUUGAAGAAGUAUUUUGCAGAAACUAUUAAGAAGUAGACUUUAAGUUCAACUUAAUCUCAUAAAAUCGACUCAUAAGAUGAGAUUUACAUCUACUUAUAUAUUAUGAAAUGUCUUAAUCUCUAGUUAGUGUGAGAUCUUCAACACAUCUUUCUCACACGCUGAGACUACCAACUCGUGCAUUACACUAUAUAUUAUGAAUGAUCCGAUAACGAUCUGAUAGCGAGUGACCUGAUAAGUCCAACAAAAAAUUACUAGUAGGAUAGACUCAUACCAUAUUAAAAAGUGAAAUUUAGGUAGAUAUAGGAAUUGUGUAGAAAAGUUGAAACUGGAUGUGUAAAAGUUGGUUUGAUUAGAUAUUCUUGCAUGGCUAUAUUUGGCAAAGAAAAGCUUGGUUAGUGGUAAGAUGAGAUUUAAAAAAGGAAAGGAAGUAGGAACAGAAAGAAAUAAAGAUUGGCACUGAAAUAGCACUGAUAGGACAUGGUAAACUUAUUUUUAGCAGAGGGCACAGAUUUAAAUAACACUAAUUUAAUGAUCCUCAUUCAAAUGCCUCAGAUUUCUCUGACACCAUCAUUUUUAAACCUCACGUAAUAUACAUUCACAUUUCACCACUCUUUUUUCAACUUCUUCCAAUUUCUAUCAGUUCUAUCAUGUGCAACAAAAUUGAACAAUAAUAAUAGAGCUGAAAUGGAGAAGUCUCUGUCAAAGGUGGUGUGAUGUAUGAACAGUAAUUUUUACUGUGAGUGUCCUCAUGCAGCAGGCACUACAGUAAAAUCAACACUGAUUUACCACCAUACCCUUCAACAGUGAAUUACAGAUUUGUUCAUUGUUUAUGUAUUAGUUGUGAUCUCAAUCAUGAUAAUGGCAGAUUUGUUGAAUUUAAUAGAGAUUAAAGGUGUGGUUAGUAGAUUUAAUUAUGUGAUUAUUAUCUGUACAAACUGAAAUACUAUAAUAAACUAAGAGGGUCCAGAUUGGAUUGUAAUUUUCUUUUUGUUUUGUUAAUGCAGUGAUUGGUUUUUGAACAAUUUUCUAAAUUUUGAUGCAGAAUAAUAUAGUGGCUGGAAAUAUAAAAAAGUAAAAGUGACAGAGACAGCAUCAAGUACUUUUUUCUAAGUUUGGUUACCAAAAUUGUGACAGGACAAAAUUGUACAUUUCAUUAAAAUACAACUCAAAGACUUGCACAAUUUUCUCUUAGUUUAUAUCAAUACAGAAAACUUUUCAUCCAAUUGUGAGAAUCAAAAGGGUACAACUUAUUUUAUUUCUCCAGCUGGAAAACAUUAUGGAAAGUUUUGAAAGAAGAAUUAGUCAAAAAAGUGUUGGUGGAAGGUUUUGUUUUCCCUUCUUUUUUACACUUUUUUUUUCUCCAGAUGUAGGAGUUAAUGGAAUAUUUACAUAGAAGGGUUUAGACGUAAACAUGGAAAUUAGGUAUACAUAAUACCAGAAUUAUACAAUGUAUAAGUAUAUGGAAAGUUGAAACAUUUGAAAUGAUUGCAUAACGGUCCUAACACGUGGCAUGUGAAAUCUAUGAAUUUUGAUUUACCCUAUUUAUAAAGGUUCAAACUAAUUGCACCCUACAUUUAUGCUAAUGUUCCAUUAUUAGUUAUCUUUCUUUCUUUUAAAGUUUUAUAUAGAGUUUGUGACCAUGUUAAUGGUUUUCACAUAAGUAUUAUUGAUUUUUUAAACCUGUUAAAUAUUGAACAAUCGAACAAUCGAGAAAGUUGAUAUGCUCGAACCAAAGGACUCUCUUAAUUCAAACACAGUUCGUAAAUCCACAGUUAAGCAUAGUUAAGUCGGUUUAAUUGUAAAUAAUGAUUAAGGUAUGAUGGGUCUCUCUUUUGAACCCACAAGCAGGCCCAUGAAAGCUGAAGCCCAUUCAAAAGGUAUAAAUAUCAAAAGAGACACGGGCGUCAAAGAUAAUUUUUUCUAUCUCGACUCACCUGCACAUUGUACUUGGACUAACUUGAUCGUCCAAGUGUCUUUGCAGGUUUCCUUCACUCAUCUCGAUGAAAAGAAUAAUCAAUCAGAGACCAUCGUGUCUGGAGACUGUGAAGACUAAAAGAAGGAGACUAAAGAAGUCAAUGUAGGAGGAAUCCGACUUGUAUGAAGAGAUAUGAAAAUAAGGUGCAUGAUUUGAUUUGAAUUAUUGGUGGAUUUGAAGGUGAAAUGGUUGUUGUAUGGUUUGAGAUUGUUGAGUGAUGUAUGUAGUAGGCUAAGACAUUUUAGUGAUAAAGGUUCCAGUUUUAGUUAGUGAAUAUGACAUGAGUGGAAGAUGAAGUUUAUUUUAGAUGGGAUUAAAAGAAUAUAAAGGUUGUUUGAGAAGUUGUAGCAUUUUGUGACGUUGAUGAAGGAGGGGCCAUUUCUGUCUUUCUCAAUCAUCCACUCAUCAAAAAAGUGGAGUGCCCAGUCACAUAACAGAUGCUUUUUCUCAUGCUCACCUCUGCCUGUGCUGGAUGGAGUAUUCUCUGUCCUAUUCUCUUCUCUAUUCUCUCCUGUAUUCUACCGUAUUCUGUUGUGUAUAUUGUAUGAUAUUGUACAUACAGACUAUAGCACAUUAACCAUCUCACCCACCCUGAACUCGUAUUUACUCUUUUUUCUAUUGUUUGUUGUGUUGCAAAAGAGUUAUGAACAGUGAAUGUGAUUUUGUGGUGAAUGAAAGGUUUGAAGGAGUGAAGAAACCCCAUUUGUUUUACGAGACCCCACGAGUGGCCUUUGUUUCUUCUCUCUCUCUCUGAGAACACAGCACAGAGCACAGAACACAGAGAGGAAGACAAGAGUCAAUGAAAACCCCACAAACUGAGAGUCUUAGUUGGUCCAAACACUCUUCAGAUUUAAAAACUCUUUCUCUUUCUUUCUCUCUCUGAAAAAGUUGAUCUUUCUGUGUCUAUCUAAAAAGGGAAGAAGAAGAGAGAAUGGAGUUGGAAGAGGAAAACAAAACAUGAUUCAUCAUCUCAUCCCAUUCCAUUCCAUUCCAUUACCAUCAAACAAAAAACAUACAAAAUAAAAAAAUAAACACAACAAGGUAAGACCCUUCCCCACCAAAUGGAACUAUCAGAUUUGCAAAACAACAAGCAGAACACCACCACCAACACCAACAACAGCACCAACACAAAAACAAACACAGUACGAGGUGGUGCUGCUGCUGGUGGUGCUGGUGGUGGUGGUGCCCAUCCCAACCAUCACCACCAACAAUCCUCUUCUUCCCAUCUUCAGCUCCCUUUUGAUGCCAGGACAAACCCUUCAUCCACCUUCCUCUCUUCCUCCACCUCUUCUUCUUCCACCAAUUCUUCCUCCUCUUCCUCCUCCGCCUCCGCCUCUUCCCACAUCAUCGACGCUUCCCUAGCCAUCGCCACCAUAUCUGAUGAUUCCGCCAACAAGACCCAACAGCUCUCCACCGCCGCCGCCGCCGCCUCCCCCGCCGCCAACCCUCCCAAGCGAUCUACCAAGGACAGGCAUACCAAAGUCGACGGCCGCGGCCGCAGAAUUCGAAUGCCCGCCACCUGCGCCGCCAGGGUUUUCCAAUUGACCAGAGAAUUGGGCCACAAGUCCGACGGCGAGACCAUCGAGUGGCUCCUCCAGCAGGCCGAGCCCGCCAUCAUCGCCGCCACCGGAACCGGCACCAUCCCCGCUAAUUUCUCCACGCUCAACGUCUCGUUCCGCAGCAGCGGCUCCACGCUGUCGGCGCCGCCGUCGAAGUCCGCCCCGCACACCUUCCACGGCGCGCUCGCACUCGCUCACCACCCUUACGAGGAGGCCUUUCAACACACCGCUUUGCUUGGCUUCCACGCUCACGCUCACCAGCAGCACCAGCAGCACCAGCUUCUUUCCGCAGAUCAAAUCGCGGAAGCGCUUCCCAGCGGUGGCGGCGACUCCGGCGACGGCUAUCUCAGGAAACGCUACCGCGAAGAUCUGUUCAAAGACGAUAACAUUAACACGCAAUCACAGAACGAGAGCGGCGACGGUUCUUCGCCGAAAACUCCGAACCUACAGCUACCGAAGCAGCAGGCUCAGCAGCAAACCGAAGCUGGUCCUGGGCUUCUCAGGCCCACGAAUUUGCUACCCGCGACAGCGAUGUGGGCCGUGGCACCCGCUCCCGCAAGCGGGCCUCCCGGCAGCACAAUUUGGAUGCUUCCGGUAACCGCGGCUUCUUCUGCUUCUGCAGCAGCUGUAGCUGCCGCUUCAGCUUCUGCUUCUUCUGGUGGUGGUGGAUCCACUGCGAGUUCGGAGACUCCGAUGUGGCCUUUUCCUCAGAGUGGUUUCAUGCCAAGGUUCAAUCUUCCGAGUGCCCUUGAAUUCCAAGGCGCACGUGGGGGUUCUCUGCAACUGGGGUCAAUGUUAAUGCCGCAGCAACCUUCUCAACAUCUGGGUCUCGCCAUGUCCGAUUCCAACUUCGGCAUGUUGGCUGCGCUCAAUGCUUACACCAGACCUGGUUUCAAUAUUAAUUCUGACAAUCAUCAUCACCAUCAUCACCAUCAUCAUCCCUUGGACCAUCAAAAUCAACAUCAACAUCAACAUCAACCUCAACCUAGUGAGAGUGGAGAAGAUGAUCCUAAUAGCUCCCAGUGAACUCUCAAAUUGGUUAGUUGGUUUCGUUUUCAUCUGUAGAUUCUGUGGCUGUAAAUAUGUCAAAAUUUCUAUAUAUAUUGUAUUUUUAAGUUGUAAUUUGAGGAGGAGGAGCUACAGUUUGAUUAUUGGAUUUCUGUUUCCCUUUUCUUUUCUUGCAGAUUGGAAGUUGAGUUGAAUGAAUUUGUGAUAAGUAAUGCUUUUGAAAAAUCCAUGGAUGCAUGCUAGCUCAUGCUCAUCACAGUUGAGUAGAUAAUUAGAUUAUGUUCUCUGAUUAUGCUUUUUUAUUUAUUAUUUACAUUUUUUUGCACUUCUUUGUUUUGUUUUGGAGAUCUUGGUAUGUUUGGUUUUGGUCCAAAGGGACUCAGACACAGAGAGAGUUUGUAUAGGAGGAAAUUUGUCUUGCUGUUUUUGUGUACUUUAUUUGCUUCUUCUCUUUUCUUUCUAUGUAUGACACCAUGAAAUCAAAUUAAAACAAAGGAAUUUAAAGGGAAAGAUUUGCUUGCCUUCCUUCCAUGCUCCUCAUAUAUGUUUUCUUUCUUGUUUCCUUUUAUAAUUCAAAUAUUUUCUACUUAUAAAAUGACAUAUACUUGUCUGGGUGAAGUUAUUAAAUGAAUUCAUUUGAAGACUUUGUGUUCCUCUUACAGCAGGAGAGUGCAUAAAUAAAGUGUGUUUGGCAUUGUAAGAUAAAUUAUUUUUCAGUAAAAUUGUAAAAUAAUUAGAAUGGCAGGAGACACUAAGCAAAGUAGGAUUGUCAGGAAAAAAAGGAGUGUGAGCCCAAAAUAUAUAAAUAGUAAUUCUUGGUAGCUUCAGUGUACAAAUCUCAGUUACAUACUUAUGUGUGCCUUUGAAGAAAAACUUCAGGGGGAUGUCAGAAGAUGGAAGGCAUUAAUUUCCUCCACUCUUCUUCUCACACUAUCAAUUUUUUUCUAAGAAUUUUAAAAUCAAAAUCAUCUGUUUUAUGGUAUGUGAUGUCAGAAAAUGAAAAAAAGAUACUGAUAGAAGAGCUGUGAUAUUGGUUUAUUGUGCAUAGGUUUAGGAAGUGAGAGGUUGGUUUGACAUUGAUGAUG
rnacentral:lncRNA from 1 species